rnacentral:lncRNA from 1 species
UUAACAGCCAACUCAUUAGACCGUUUGGAAAGUAGUCUGUUAUCUUUGGGAGUGAGAAGGUUCCUGGCCACUACCGCAGCGGUCAUAUCAUUCUUCAUCACGAAAUCUCCAACGGUAAGAGGACCAGUAGGGGAGACGAAGGAUGGGCGCCAUAUGUUGUCUGGAGAAGGCGUGGCUGCCUCUUCAAUAAGGUUCAAGUCAAAACGACGGUCGGAGGGGCCAGACAUUUUCAAAGGUGUUGAAGAGAGAAAAGGUCGGACAAAUCAAGAUCUUAGAAGUGCAAGAAUGGAGCUUCUACUAGUGGAGAUUCAAGUGUGCUUUGGAACUUAAUGCCAGCCUCUAUAAAAAUCUGCACUCGACGGAGCUUCAGAAAUCGAAGAGGCAUUUGCUUUCUCAAAAGCUGGGCUGCUCAGAGACCACGAGGGUCGAUCUCAGAAAUCGAAGAGACGUUUGCUUUCUCAAAAGUUGGGUUGCUCAAAGACCACGAAGGCCGAUCUCAGAAAUCGAAAAGGCGCUUGCUUUCUCAAAAGCUGGGCUGCUCAGAAACCACGAGGGCCGAUCUCAGAAAUCGAAGAAGCACCUACUUUUCCAGCCUUAUCAGCACCUGUCACACGCACACUCAGCUUUGCGGAAAUUAUGGGCAUUAUGUCGAAGAUUUCUGGUGAAGUAGAAAGCACAUGAAUCUUAUUGUUCAAUCACCCACUUCCCACAUGCAACAUUAGCUCAUGGGUACCAUAGAUAACUUUGCCAAAGUUCUCUGACAAAGUUGAGACACGUGAAGCUUGCAGCUCUACUACAUCGCUCUGACCAAGAAGGGUAAAAGAAUAGCAAAGAAACAGCACUAACAAAGUUUAGACACAUAAAUUUUGAAGGUCUAGUUACCAUAUUAUUAUCCACAAGGGUAAAGGAACAGUACCACUGCUGGAUAAUUGGAAAGUCCUUGUGUGUCAACCUCUGUGCUUCGUGGCAAGGUAGACUAGCAAACAUGCCCAACCUUUUCUCACAUUCGAGAAAACACUCCCAACAAGAUUGCUUGCUCCAAAAUCGAAGAGGCACCGCCCUCCGAAUCUCGAGAGCCAGACUCCCAACAUGAUUACUUUCUCAAAAAUCGAAGAGACACCGCUCUCCGAAUCUCGAGAGCCAGACCCCUAGCAGGAUUGCUUUCUCAAAAAUCGAAAAGGCAUCGUUUUCUGAUCUCGAGAGCCAGAUCUCCGACAGGAUCGCUUGUUCGAAAACCGAAGAGGCACCACUUUCCCAACUUCAAGAGCCGGAUCUCCUUGGAUAAAGCUUGUCUGUAAUCUUCACACGCAACAUCAGCUUUCCAGAUACCACAGACCACUUUUUCAAAGUGCUCUGACAGACUACCGUGCUAUGACCAAGCAGGGUAAAGGAAUGGCAUUACUACUUGUUGUUAGGGAGACUCCUAUAUAUGUCGACCUCCAUCCCCAACGGACAGGCAGACCUGCAAAAAUGCUCAACCCUUCCUCAUAUCUGAGAGGGCACUCCCAACGAAGCCUUUCGAAAUAUUCAGCUUUCUUUCCCCCCGAUAAUACCUCUGCAAACAAGCUAUACUAAAGCAAGAAUAUCUCAUAUCAUCAGGGUUAAAAGCAAGAGUAUCCCAUAUCAUGCUUUUUUCCUGUCUUUUCCUUUGGCCUUGUUCUUACCUGCAAGACAAGGAGAAAGAGAGCAAUCAGUCAGCACUUGGAAUCAAGCUUCCAGUCAGGAACUGACUGCCUGGAACCCCUUACUUGAUUACUUACCUGGCAUUGCUCUCGAGUACUCAUCUUCAACAUCUUAUGCUUCCAGGGAAGAUACCGCAUCUGCCUGAGGAACAGAUAGGGCAAGUGAGAAGGAUACAAGGAAGCAUGUGGAGACAAGCGUAACAGCACACGUGCCGAUACAUCCACUACUCUGUCAAAAGCAAAAGUAUCCCAUAUCAGCAAGGUCGAACGUACUAUAGAUUUGAUGGACUUGUUUUGACCCUCAAAUUCUUCAGUCGGCCUUAUACUCUGGAGGAAACCAGAAAAUCCUCCAGCCCAGUUCAAGAAUAAGCCUGUGGAAAGUUACUUCUUCAAAAGCAAAAGUAUCCCAUAUCAUCUCUUCUCAUUUUUCUUCUCUUUAUCCUUCAUGCUGCCUGCAAGAUAGGGAGAAUGUGAACAAUCAGCCGGAACUCGAAAUCAAAGUUCUGAUCUAGGACUGAUUGCUUGGAGCUCUGAUUGCUUACCUUGUCUGUCACCUCUUUCAGCAGAUCCCCUAGCUCGGCGACUUAGGGGAUUCCUACUACAUGAUUUGUAUCGCGUUUGACCAAGCCUGAAACUACAAGUAAGCUUCAAGUGAAAUUGAUACAUUACCUUGUGCAUCUCCACCAGUUAAAGAUACCACCCAGAUAAGGCAAGUCAAGACGAUACCACACUCCGGUACUUAGAAGUUUCGUGAUUACGAGAUCAUUCUCCCACAAUAUUUCCUAAUGUCAUUUGUACUAAAUCAUUCACUUGUACUCACUAAAGGAGAGCUUGAACCUAUGUACUUGUGUAAACCCUUCACAAUUAAUGAGAACUCCUCUAUUCCGUGGACGUAGCCAAUAUGGGUGAACCACAUACAUCUUUUGUUUGCUUUCCUAUCUCUAUCCAUUUAUAUACUUAUCCACACUAAUGACCGGAGCAAUCUAGCGAAGAUCACAAAAAGCGACCGUUUUCGCUACCUAGGAUCUAUCUUGCAAGAGAACGGAGAAUUAGAUGGAGAUCUCAACCAUAGAAUACAAGCUGGAUGGAUGAAGUGUAAGAGUGCAUCCGACGUGUUGUGUGACCGUCGUAGGCCACUGAAGCUCAAGGAAAAAUUUUAUAGGACGGCAAUAAGGCCAACGAUGUUGUAUGGCACAGAAUGUUGGGCGGUGAAGCAUCAACACGUACACAAAAUGAGUGUAGCGGAGAUAAGGUACUUCGUGGGAUGUGUGGGCACACGAGAAAGGAUAAGAUUGGGAAUGAGGAUAUCCGAGGUAAAGUAGGAGUAGCCGAAGUUGAAGGAAAGAUGAGAGAAAAUCGGUUACGGUGGUUUGGACAUGUGCAAAGAAGGCCUAUUGACGCUCCGGUUCGAAGAUGUGACUACGGGACAGAGGUUCGGGGCUGAAGGGGUAGAGGAAGACCUAGGAAAACUUUGGAAGAGACCCUAAGAAAAGACUUAGAGUACUUGGAUCUAACGGAGGACAUGACACAAAACCGAGCGCAAUGACGUUCUAGGAUUCAUAUAGCCGACCCCACUUAGUGGGAAAAGGCUUUGUUGUUGUUGUAUCAAUUUGAAUGUGUAGUGAGAUUUAGGUUUUCGUUCGGUUUCUUUUGUAUGUUUGUUUCAGCGUUUUGGUAGCAUGGCUGGGGUUUUCCAAGUAAUGAUAUGAUGUUCGAGCCUUGGACAAGAAUGAUGUCGACCCUCCUUUCAUGGCUAAGCUUGCUAAGAUUGCAACGGCCGAAAUCAUAUCCUCGAAGGUACUUUUGUGUUCUUCGUCCUGAUGAUGCUCUGUUGAUCUCAUAGUAGAACUACUUGCAUGAUUGAAUUGUUCUCUUUGAUUUAGGAGCUCAAUGCAGACUGGCAAAGAGCUGCGUCAGCCGUUCUUGUUUCAAUCGGCAGACAUUUGCCAGACCUAGUAAGUUUUGUUGUUUUACAACAAACUUUACGUUUUCAUUUACAUCUUAGAACCAAUUAUCUUUCUUUUUUAUUACAACACCUCUUAGGAUAAACUGAAAAAUAGUAGUAUAUUCUCUUUUUUUCUUUCAAGCGCCCGUGAGAGGUGACAUUUUGUUUUAAUCAGAAAUAUCAUGCAUGACUUGACUGCCAAGGUACUUAUCUACAAAGCCCCCUUUCAGGCUUAGAUUGUACAAUGGGAAAAAUGGCUUCUCCAUAAUCUUGGUUGUCACUCACCAAAGUAACUAAAAUCUAACACUAGAAUGCCAUGUUAUAGGAUACGGAUUUAGCAAUUAUUUUUUUGUAAAAAUUUCAAUUUUGGCUAUAAAAUGGUAAAAAUGGUUUGUAUGGAUACUUUUUGCUGUUUGCUGGGCAGUUUUUUAAGGAGAAAAUGACCUUGCAAAGAAAUAACAAGAGGCUUAGUUAGGGUUGACUGCCUCUGCAUUUUGAAUAUACUUGUCUUCCCAGACUUAAAUGAUCCUGGAUGUUUACCGUUUAGGGCAAGCUAUCUCAAUAUUCUUAGAAAGUUCUUGCAUUAACCAAAUCUACAGUAUUAUUUAUUGUUUAAGGUGGGGCUUUGUCAGGCUUUUUCCAUUUUUUAAAUAAUUGAGAAGCAUUCAGUAAUUCUGUGUAAAGCUGAUAAUGUAAUAUUUUAUUAGCACAUAUUUCUGUUUGACUGAUCACAUCCCUUUUCUUUGGAUUGUGGGAUGUUGGGCCAACCCCAAUCUUUAGCAGAAAUGGACUAUUUACACUUAUACUAUGAUUUCACAUACACACUACCUCUCCCUCUACCCAUCCUCCCUACCUCGCUCCUUCCCAGUUCUCCAUGAUAUUCUUAAUUAACUCUUCUUUUACUUGGUUUUUUCUUUUCUUUUCUUGAUUUGGCAGAUGAUGGAAGAAAUUUUUCUUCAUUUGCCUGGGCCAAACUCAGCUUUACCAGCUAUGGUUCAGAUACUAGCAGACUUUGCUCAUGCUGAUGGUUAGUGUUAAACUUUCCUUUCUUUGUGCUUCUCUUCCACCUUGGGAUCCCACAUGUUACUUGGUUUUAUAUUUUGGAUUAAACUAAAAUGUGCCAUACCUUUUUUGCUUUAAUUUUGUUGAAGCAUUGCAGUUCACCCCACGAUUGAAAGGUGUGCUUUCACGGGUUGUACCUAUUCUUGGAAAUGUACGAGAUGCCCAUCGGCCUAUUUUUGCUAAUGGUAUGCUGAAUUGUUAUUGACCUCUUUCCCUUCUUGUUCAAUUGAUCUUUGCCUCUAAUAUUGUGAAGUGAAAUUGGAGUAAAUAGGUUUUGAUUAUUUGGUAGACUGUGGAACUAUUUGUUAAAUGCUGUAGCAAACACGGUCAAAGUUGCAUAAGAAAGUUUGUAUCAAAACACACUGUAUAACUUACAAACUUUAAAGACUGGUUCCAUUUCAUACUUUCAUCUAAAAUCAAGAACAAAGGAAAAUAGGUUUGUGUGUUGGCUGCCACAUUGAUUAACCAAAUCAAACCCUUAACACAUUUGUUCAUUUGACAUUUCAGAGUGACUUGAGAAGGUUAUGGAAGUUUGUAUUAAUAGUGUCUCCAGAGAAAUUCUGGCCAUUCGUCACCUGUUAAUUACCACACACUUCCAUGAUAGGAUUAGAGUAUUCAACCAAAAACCAAUUGGCAAUGGAUAGAGAUGCCCAAGAUCUUUUAAAAUACUGGCAAUGCUUCCAUUUUUAAAUGUGGAUAAACUCUUCUCAACUAUCUGUGUGUCUUCAUGUGUAAAAUGGUUUUGUUUCGAAGUUGCAAUUAGGCACAUAUUUUUACCUCUCUCUCUCUCUCUCUCUCUCUCUCUCUCUCUCUCUUCCCUUAUUUUUUGACACAGGUUCAAUAAAAUAUAUUAUACUAAUUUACUCAAUAAGUUUGCUGACGAUGUUUACCAUCUUUCCUGUUCUUUUCAGCUAUUAAGUGCUGGUGUCAGGCUGUUUGGCAGUAUAGCCUGGAUAUCCCUUCGCAUUCACCUUUGGAUGCUGACAUCAUGUGAGAUAAACUAUUAGUUGUUCUUAGCAUUACAGUUUCUUCAGUCCUGGUUCUUUUCUUAUUCCUAUGCCUAUUUUAUACUUCUUGUCUUAAUGAAUGAAUAUCAUUUAGUGCAGGUCAUUUUUGAAUUCUGUUUUUGAGUUUUUAUUGAAAGUUUGGGCUGCUUCACGCGAUCUAAAGGUUUGAAAAAUAUUGUUGUUUCUAUUUCUUAUUGUAAUUUCUAUUUUCCAUGGUGAUUUUGUUUUCCUACAACCUUUAAUUGCAACUACAUCUAGGUAGUUGUUAUUACAAUAAAGUUAAACUCAGUCAAAUACUUCAUUUUGGGAAACACAUUUUAGUCUUCUUUCUUAUUUCACUUUAAUGGCGCCUCAUUGUUUUAAUUGCCUUCUAUUUUCUUUAAGAUGAAUCAUGUUUCUAUGCUUAGUUAGGCAUAAAUUUGUGAAGAGUUUUCCUAGUGGUAUAUUUUUCUCUUCCUAACUGUAUGCUUAGGUGAAGUGUCGUGUAUUCCUUGUUUCUGAUUCUCUCUCUCUCUUUCUUGCUGGAUGUAUGAUACUUUACACUUUUUCUUUUUUAUAGACAUGAGAACUAAUGGCAUUGGAAUCUGGUUUCUAUAAAUUUAAUAAACUCUUUCUUGAAUAGGUUCGCAUGUCAUCUGUAGAUGCAUUAGGACAGAUGGUUGGCCUUAUUACCCGGGCACAAUUAAAGGCGGCUUUACCCAGACUUGUCCCCACGAUAUUGGAACUGUAAGAUUGAUUUAUCAUGAAACAGUACUUCCUGCUCCUGCACUAUAAAUAAAUGUUCUGUAGACAAGUCUUUGAUGAUACAGUUCCUAAACCCGUAUUGCACUUGUAUAUUUUCAAAGGCAUGCAUGGAUAUACACACCUUCACUAAAUUUUUUACACGUCAGUAACGUUUGUAGCUUUUUCUUUAUCCCGCCGACCAGGUAUAAAAGAGAUCAAGAUAUUACCUUUUUGGCAACAUGCAGUCUUCACAGUCUCUUAAAUGCUUCUAUACUGUCAGAAAGUAGUCCUCCUUUACUUGAUUUUGAGGUAAUGAAAAACAUAUUGUGUUCUUUUUUUUCUUAUUUAGUUUGUUGGUGCUGAAGUUUUAGAAAUUGUUCUUGUUCAGAAAAGUUGAGCUUGUUGAUGGUUUUAAUCUUUAAUAACUGCUGCUUUUUUUCCUAUUCAACCUUGUGAACAAUUUUAAAGGAAUGAAACACCUAAUCUGUGUUAAAGUGAGGCCAUCAGUAUGGCCAUAUUAUUCACUAUAGGCCGAAUUACCUUUAGUUACUUUCGGAAUACUACUAAUAUUCUUUUCGAUGCUAGUAUUGUUUAUUUUGUGUUGUUUUGUACUCAUGGUGGUUUUCAGGAGCUUACAAUUAUUUUAUCAACACUCCUGCUGGUGGUUUGCAUCAAUAAUGACAACAAAGAACACUCAGAUUCGUCAGUUGGACUGAAGGUUAAAAUGUGUUCCUUAUUUUUUGUUCAAAUAACACAAGUUCCUGCAUUUUGAUUCAUGGACUUUGUCCAUAGAGUUUCUGUAGUUGUAUGCAGAUGUUGAUGGCUAACCGUUUCAGCACUCCAUUGUUAAUUUGGUAUUCUACUUUUUCUCAAUGUUUGAGUUGUUUCCAUUCUGGGCAGACUUACAUGAUCUAACAUUCUUAUGAUUUUAUUUGGAGGUUGUCUGAAGCUUAGCACAGUAAACGGCCUUUUCUUGUUGAAGCUGUACUGUUCUUGAUAGAUGAGCAAAAUUUAGGUGUCCGAAAGGCACUUUCAGAGGUAUGUCGUGUGAACUUAUGGUUUUCUUUGUAACUUAAGUACAUCUUUCUCUCUUAACAUUGUUUAUUAUUGUUUGAAGCAGUGCCGAAGACAUGGUAGUACAAGUAGGGGCAGCUGCCCCUUUGGCCGUUGGAAAACCCCAUGCAGAGCAAGGAAUCCACCUCUCUGAACCGACACGAAAGGUAUUUGACGAAAUGCUUGAAUGAAAUUCAAGUCUAUUGUCAUUGUUGUGCUGCUUUGCUGCAUUACGUUUUGCAAGCUUGCGGCCAAUGUUUCAACCUAUGGUGGAGGUGCUUCAAUGAAUUAUUGGUUAUCACAACCAAGAUAAUCUAGAUGAAGCAAAUAGGUUGUUCAACGACCUACAAACUUUUGGUUUGUGUUUCAUCUUUUUUUAUGAGAUUUAUAUUGGGAAUUACAAUUGAGUUAUCACAAGAAUUACAAAAGAAAGGCCGAGACGUUGUGAAAGCAAUUGUGUUAGUGGAAUGCAAACAAAGACUACAAUCCUUAAAAGAUGAUGACUUUGAGGAUUUGUUUCAUAAUGUAUAAACGUUUUAUGCGGAAAAUGAUAUUAAUGUUCCUAACAUCGAAUAUUUCUAUUUCGCACCCAAAAAAUCAAAUCAUAAAGCUAAAAGACUUGCAAACGUCAAUUAUUAUCAUAUGCAUCUAAAAAAAUUGAAUGGUUACUUCAGUGAGGUGAACACCGACUUACUUCUGUGUAUGGAUGUUUGAGUCUGGUCUACAAAUUUGCACCUUUUGAAAAAAAAAAAAAAAAAAAAAGAAAAAAAGUUCAUUUUGCCAAAUUUUAUCCUUAAGAUGAUUGUGUGGAUUUCAUGAAUCUUCUAAUUCAACUUGACAAUUAUAAGCAUGAUAUGAAGAUGCAUAGUGAGUUUCAUCAUUGAAAAGAAUUAUUGAUCUUUGAAAAGAAUUGGGAAGAUCAAGAUGAGUGAAAGCUACAAGUAUGUGUAUAAGCUUUUUAAUUGGCUUUCGGGGUUGUCGGUUUCAAUAUUGUGAAAACACCAAUGUAUAACAAAAUGAGAGAUAAAUGGUUGAGUGGUAGCAUGUUGUUUACAUUGAGAGAUAUGUUUUUGCUUUUACUAAUAAAAAGCAUAUUAUGCGGCUUUUCAUGACAUAAAAUCUCACCAACCACCCAGACACCUGAAUCGCGAUAUGCUAGCCGACACCUAGAAGGUGAUGAAGUCAUAAAGUGUGGUGAUGUGGAAAAUGUAAAUAAAUUAAAACCUCAAAGUGACUAAUUUAGAGUGCGCAGGUAAGUGAGGAUUGAACCCAUAUUACACAAGUGAUGUCAGAGCAUAGCUACAUUGCAAUAAAAGAAGGGUAAUGACAUUUAUACUAAAAGGAGAAGUCUCCUACAUAAUAGCUUUUGCCAACAAUCCUCGUCGUCACGAAACCUCUACCACUAAAAUCCUAAAGGGGCGAAAAACAAGAAUGAGUGGGCCUAACAAAUAAAGUUUUGUAACAUAUUUUCGAAAGGUGUAACCCCUUAUAGUAAAACAAGUAUAUAGUUUCCUAAAAAAAUACUAUAAUACUAGUAUGUAAUACGGUACCCUGCAACAAAAGUGAGUUAAAAGAUGUAGAGUACAACAACAAGUUUCCUCAACAUUAAAUCUUGAAUCGAUAUUAUAAGAAAUCACUGCUCAUUAAUUUAUGUAGCCACACAAGUCCAUUUUAGAGAUAUUCAGACAAUAGAACAGGCUGAGUGUAGGUUUUACAUUCUAGUCCUACAUUACAUGAGCUGCACUAGUCGCAGCCAAGGUAUAAAAUAUCGAUGAUAUCGGAAAUAUCAGUAGUCCAAAAACAUAGAAAUUUCAAUGGAAAUAUCGGGAUAUUAUCGAUAUCGAUAAAAAUUGAAUAAAAACCACUGAAAUUGUAAGAAAAACUUGAAAUUUUUUAUUGAAACUUUGAAGGAUGUUUAUUUAGUCAAUUAUCUAUUAGUUUAUCACAAAAAAUUUGAAGGAAAUGCAUUGCAUGAUAGAUAUAACUUAUUUAAAUUGAUUAUAUAGCGAGUUGGCAAACAUUGAGUGUAGAAAAUAUGUAGUAAUUAAUGAAAGAAGUUUAAACACACCAUAAUCAUUUAUAUAUAAUGAAUUAGUACAAUAUUUUACACUUUAUACAUUGCAUGGUAAGAUACAUGAGUGACUUGGCAAUGUCCAAAAUAUCGAUGAUAUCGGAAAUAUCGGUAGUCCAAAAACACGGAAAUUUCAAUGGAAAUAUCGAGAUAUUAUGGAUAUUUUAGACCAUGGUCGCAGCACAUACUAGUCCAACACAUCAUACAAAAGGACAGGUUGUCACUUAACUCUGGAUCCAAAGCGAAUGUAAAUGGUGCAUGUGAACUACAAGUUAAGUUGGUUUUUGGUCCAGGACAAUACAAAUAACUAAGAGACACUGUGCAAACAUGUAAUAAUGAGCAGAUAAAAUGUAAGGAUGUCAUGCCAUAAGUUUAUGCUCACAAAUAAUAUAAUAAACAUAAAGUGUAUGGAAAGUUUAUUUGUAAAGCUACACAUGUCAUGUCACAUUAUAGUAUAUAAAAGCAGUUGUUGGGACAAAAUCACAUAUACAUAUAUAUAUAUGUGUGUGUGUGUGUGGGUGUGUGUGUGUAAAAAAUGAAAAGACCUACUCACAAAUAUUUGCGAUGUCACAACCAUUCGAGUUGGGAAAAGCGGAGUCUCUGAUAGUAAUCACACCUAAGCAUAAUAUUGAGACCUAUUAGUAAAACUUAACUUAAACGAUUAAAUUUGGGAAAACAGAGUGUGGAUUUGGAAUUAGAGUGUUGAAAUACGCUAAGAGGGGUCCCAGGCAAAUUUUGUAAAAAGUCAACAAAAAGUCAACGGCCAACCCUAAAAAGUCAACCAAGACGCCGAGUUGGUCAACUAUUUUAAAACUUAGGAAUUUCACUAAAUGGAUGUAAAAAAAAGACUCGAGACGUCGAUUAGGUUAGAAGGGUUUCCGAGAAAAUUUCGUUAAAGUCAACACAAUGAAUAUUCCAAGAAUAUUCCAAACAAUAUUAAAAAAAAUAUUCUCAGAAUAUUCCAAAUCCUUUUAGGAACUUGGGCUUAGGCCUUUUUUUUUUUUUUUUUUUUUUCUAUUUCUAUACCUGGUCGGGUUGACCCGUUAGGACUCGCAGGUCGGUCUCGCGGAUCUGGGUCGAAUCCGUGUUAGAGUGAACAUGUCAUGGGUUUGGGCCUAUUCAUGGAUUGGGGUUUGGGCUUUUUUUUUCCUCAGAUUCAGUUACCGGUUUCUUCAAAGAAGAAAGCCGAAACCGGCAAGUUUGGCCAGGAAACACCCUGAGCUCCGUUCGAGCUCGAUUCUUAACUAUUUUUCAUGAAAUAAACGUCAAAUUGAAGCUUGGGAGAUUAUGAACUAGGGCAUACCAAACUAAGGUUGAGACGAGGUUAGGAUCGAUCGAAAAAGCCUGCAAAGGCCGGGUUUCUCGCCAAAAAAUCUGGAAAAAAAUUUCCCCAGUUAGUUCCUGAGUUCAAUGUCACCAAAAUCCCUAAAAUUUACCCUAAUCGUACUACAAAACAUGGUCUACGAAGAUUUUGGGGUUUUUGAACCUUACCUUCGUCGUGAACGACAAGAACUCGCUAUGAAUGUCAUCGGAAAAGAAAAACAUGAAUAGUGGCUUCAAGGUAAAAGAAUGAGUGGUGCUGGUUCGACAUGGGGGAGAAAACGACGAAGGUGGUGCCGGCCUGGGUCAUCGAGUGGAGUAACUCGCCGGAGUCGCAAUAGCAAGGUGGUGAUGGUGGUUCCCGCGUCACUGGGUUUCUUCCUAGCCUGGUGGACAAUUGCAUAAACAUGAUUCCAUUUGGUUUCAGGUUUGAAUGCUGGUAUUGACUGAGAUGGCGAGUGCUGAAUGAUGAUGAUCAUGAAGCAUGCAUGCAGCUGAAGAAAGGAAAAGGAGUUUUACAGGAGAGAGAAAGGUGGAGUGAGGGAUGAUAGAAAACAAAUGGCAGAAAAUGAGCGGAGAGCUUGGAUGAGUGAUGGAGAAACAGAGGGUUAAGAGAUAGAGAGUUAUGGUGGUGGUAUGGCGAAGCUCACCGGAGAAGGCAGUGAGUGGUGUUGGUGCUCAGCUACUCUGUGCUGCACAGAGAGAGAGUUUGAAGGAAAGAGAGAAGUGAUAUAAAGGUAAGGGAGGGAAAGUGAGUGGAGUGAAUUGAAAGUGACUGAGAGAGGUGAUGUGGAGAGCUGAAUGUGCAGAGAGAUAUGUGAAUGAAGUGAAAAGUGAGAGAGAAAGGGAGCAACGGGAGAGAGAAUGAGAGAUGUGAGGUGAUAGACUAAAAAGAAGGAAAAUGAUGAAGUAAUACGUCUGAUGGAACAAAUGUGGGUUUCUAAAACCCAAAAUAAAUAUUAUUUUAAUAGCACACUUGAACCCAUGUGAUGUUCAAUUUUUCAAACCCUUGCAUGCCAUUAGUCUGCACGAGGGUCAUCAGACAGACAAGACCAAGGCAGCCUACUGCAUGAAGCCAUAGUUCAAAUUUUGAAAUUAUCCCGGUAGUUUUACACAGUUUCAGACAUAACUGGUUCGUUAUAACUUUAAAUUGAGUUCCGUCUGCAGCCACGUGUUCGUAAAAAUGAGUACUAGUCGUAAAUAGUAAAAUAAGACUGAAAAAGGUGAAAGAAAAAUUGAGGUCCAUGUGGAAAGCCUACGUGGCAUCUCAGAGGUAUCUUGACAUAAGCACCAAUAACAACAUCCUCAAUGUUUACUCAACAUAUUGUUAAGACAUGCGGCAAAGGGAUAAACCAAGUUAGUAGAUGAAAUAAAAUGUACACAAAACAAAGAAGAAAAAAACAAUACUAUAUAUGCAACCAGUGGCGGAUCCAGGAUUUUAACUUAGGAUGGUCCCAAUAUAAAAGACCCAAAAAAAAAAAAAAAAAAAAACAAGACGAAAAUAUCAUUGAACAAAUAAAUGGCAAACUACAAAUUUCAUUCAUAAUCUUUGUGCUAAACAAGCUAGAAAUACUAAAUUUGUCCACUACGGGAUCUCAUACUUUGAAAACGUGUCAUUAUAGUUUCAUUGUCAAUACAAGAAAAAACAUCUUUCUCAAUAUAAACAACUAAGCUAUCAUUUAACCAUUGAUCCCCCAUUCUGUUGCAGAGUGGACACUUAAUGAUAUUCAUGGCAGAAAAUGCUCUCUCCACUGAAGCAGUUGCAAUAGGUAAAACCAAAGCCAAUUCAAUAAGUAAAUACACAUAAUGAAAUACUCGAUGCAACCUUUUUUCGACCAUUUUCUUAGCAAGAUCACUAAUGCUUUGCAACUGAGAAAAGUCACUUCUCGAAUGCAUAGAAUGAAUAUAAAUAUCGAGUUGAUCUUCAAGUGCCAAUAGGUCUUGCUUCGUAAAAUCUUGAGGGUACAAUUGAGCAAGGCGAAAUAGCUUUUCUUUGUCAAAAGCUACAAAAGAAUCAUUUGUACUCAAACUAGCCAAACAAAUGAGCAAUUCGGUACUUGUUUCAUUGAAGCGAUCAUUUAACUCUGUAAGUUGGGAAUUAAUGACAACAAAAAAUAGCUCCACUUUGUAACGAUGACGAUUGGUCUUUUUGUGGGUAUUACGCCGUGACCUCCCAUGAGCUACAUAUGUCUCAUCCAUGUUAAUAACCUCAAUGGACACAAAAUGACAAUACUUUGUCAACCAAAAGGUCAAACCCCUCAUCAUUCCUCAUGUAGAGUAGUUGUUCUUUACAUGUGUUGACUAAAGUCAUUGCAUUCACAAUCUCUUGAUCAUCCCUUUGUAAUACUUGUGAUAAAUCAUUCGUGAUUCCUAAUAUAGAUUUCAUCAAAAAUAAGAGAAACACAAACUCAAAAGAUUGUAUGUCUUUCAAUAACCUAUUUGCUUUGGCCACACUAUCGUUGGUAUUAUCAUCAACAAUCAUUUCAAGCACAUUGACCACAGAUGAGAACAUAGUAAUCAAACUAAUCAAAGUACCAUAAUGUGAAUUCCAUCUUGUAGCUCCGGCACAUUUGAGACUAGUUUCUUGAUUUAAGCCUUGUCUCGUCAUAAGAGAAUCAUUUUCAAGAGCUUUCAUAAGUUCUUUUUGUUGCAUCUCUCUAAGCGCAUCACGACGCUUACAUGAAGCUCCAAUAUUAUUUACCACAUUAUUAGCCAAUAGAAAGAAUGUGUUAACAUCAACAUUAUUCUUUGUUACGGCAACAAGAGCUAAUUGGAGUUGAUGAGCAAAGCAAUGAACAUAGAAUGCACAAGGUUGAUCAUUCAAAAUCUUUGUCUCGAGUCCAUUGAACUCACCUUUCAUAUUACUAGCACUAUCAUAACCUUGCCCUCGUAAAUUGGAGAAGCUUAACUCAUUGAAAUGAAAGAAGGCAUCAAUAGACUCCUUUAAUGUGUUUGAAGUGGUGUCGGGAACAUGUUGAACUCCUACAAACCUUUCAAUGACUUUCCCAUUUUUGUCCACAUAACGCAAAACCACCGCCAUUUGCUCCUUUAUAGAAACAUCACGUGCCUCAUCAACCAAUAGAGAAAAGAACCUAGCAUUCUUCAUAUCACUUAUGAUAGUUUUAAUGGUUUCAAUAGAACAUGAAUGAACAAGAUCUUUUUGAAUUGAAGGAGCUAUUAGCUUGAGAUUUCCCGGAGCUUUAUCUAACACAACGGCCUUUAUUUUCUCAUCAUGAUCUGCAAGGAAUUGCAAGAGCUCCAAAUAGUUACCUCUAUUGUUUGAAGUGUCACUUUCAUCAUGACCACGAAAUGAAAGACCUUAUCACAACAAAAACUUAGUGCAAUCAAUUGACGCAUUCAAGCAAGUGCGAUAAGCCAUACGAGCUUCUUCUGACUGUUUGACCAAAACUGUUUCAAUAUGUGUCUUUUGAUUCAUUAGAUUACCAGCAGCUUCAACAGCUUUAUUGUGAAAGCUACCAACCACUCCCACAUGUUUUUCAAAACAGGCUUUUGCAUGCUUCCAAUUUUGAAAGCCUACCUUAGUACAGACGUCACUGCAUGAUUGUUCAAAGUUGACUUUGAAUAGAUAGCAAUAAAAGCAAAAUGCAGCAUCUUUAGAUAUAUUAUAUUCCAACCAAUGAAAUUCCUUCAACCAAUUAUCAACGAACCGUUGCUUUUUAUUCGAAUGCAAAGUGAAGGGAAAAUCAUGAUCUUUAGCUCUAAAAGGCUCCAUUAAUAUAUAUGCUAUUCGGACCUCAUCUCGAAUAUCUGGAGGAUAAUCCUUCAUUGGAGUUCUCUUUCCGGGAUCUCUCUCAAGAUUAUCCAAAUCAACUUUUAACUCAUUUUGUUGUGGAGUGGAAUUACCCCCAAUUGGAUUAGAACUACUUAGAAUUGGAGGGGAAUUGUUCGGAAUAGGAUUGGAACCAUCCAAGUUUGGAGAUGAACUAUUUGGAAUAUGAUUGUCUGAACUAAUCGAUGAUGAUUUUCGCUUGUAAUGGAUAGUGGAUGGCAAAAUCAUUUAAUGGACAGAGUUAAAGAGAGCAGAGAGUAGAGUACAAACCUAAAGGAACGAGAGCGAGAAGAGAGUGAAGUUCUAAUUGCGGUGCAGUGCAAGCAAUCAGAUUCAGAUUCAGAAACUAGAGUGCAGUGCAGAAGAAAGUUGAUUGAUGUCGACGCCGUAAGGAACGAGAGUAGAGUGGACCUUGUUUGUGAAAGAUUUGGUAACGAGAACGAAGAGAGGAACGAGACCGGACCUUGUUGUGUGAAAUAUUUGGUAACGAGAACGAAGAGAGUUGAACGAUUUGGUAAAGUGAAGUUCUGAUUGCUAUGUGAAGGAGCUGAGUCUGAGGGUUCUCAUGUGAGUGAGCAGUGAGGUUUUAAAUUUUUUUAAUGACUUGGCUCAAAACGACGUCGUUUUGGCCAAGUCAUUUUAAAAAAAAAUUUGGCUUUCUUCUUCCUCAUUCAGAAAUGCACAGCGACCAGAGCAGCCAUGGCUGCUGUUCUUCUCCAUCACUGCCCAGACUUGGGUGGUCCUUGAAGAUCCUCACAGCCAUUUUUUCGAGCUUCGGGUGGUCCCGGGACCACCCUGGUCCCUUAAUAGAUCUGCCCCUGUAUGCAACAAACAAACCAAAUUAGCCAGCAAACUAAAUUUUGAAAAGGUGAAAAACUAAAACUCUAGCAAUGAAAGCUAGAAUACUAAGCACAAUACUAUCAAGUAUGAGCCAAACCCCAAUCCCUCUACCUAAAACACAUAAAAAUAGACAAUAAAUUAAGAGGAGUGUUAAACCCACCCCCUUUUCUUAUUUCCCCACCCCACUUAAAUGUGAAAAUCCAUUGACAACUAUGUCAAUUUAGGGCGUGUUUGGCAUGCCGGAUAACACACUGGAUAGUACUAUUUAAUACUAUCUAGUGUUUGGUGCCAUUCCUUAUUAAAUUAGCACCAUAUUAUUUAUGCGGUCCGGCCUAUUUUAUAUGACGUACACCGGAUAACUUAUACACUCCAAAUCGUAGGUAUUAAUUAGUCGGGUCGCUGAAAACAAAAUCUAUGAAACACAGUGCCAUAAAUGUUCUUCAAUCUCCUUUUGAGGAAGUAAAUGAACAUGAUAAUCUUUGAUGAAUUGAGUUUUUAAUCCGGUACUGCACCAAAUGCCCGAUUAAAUAGUCAGUAUGCUCGACUAAAUAGUCAGUACUAUCCGAUAACAAAUUAUCAUAUCCGACUGAAAUAGUCAGUACAGUUCGAGUUGUCAAAUGAGGUAUUAGAGAAUGACCGUAAGGACCUAAACAAUAACCAAUUGUAUUUUGACAUGUAAGCAUUAGAUUUUUUCAUUAAAAACAAAAAUAGCAGAAAAAGAAAAAACGAAAAAAAUCAGAAAAUCCCCACCCCGUUCUCACUAUUAUAACCAGUGUUCUAAAACGCGGUCAAGGCGGCCGCCUAGGCGCUGGGCGUCGGACCGCCGCCGCGAUUUUUCCAAAAACGUUCAAUAAAUCGGCAAGGGUAUUAGGCGGUGUCUAGGAUGCCGACUGGGCGUGCUGGGCGGGCUGGGCCGUCGCGGCGGCGAGCUAGGCGGUCUCGGCGGUGAACUAGGCAAUUGCUGGAAAAAAAAAACGAAAAAUUUGACCUGGACUCUUCGGAUUUCUUCACCGGAGCCAGCAACGUUUUCAAGGAUCUUCGCUGUGCUAGAAUAUGUUUUGGGAAAUUUUGCAGGGCAAGAAGAUGGGGAAUUAGGCGGAGAAGACGAUGGAGAAUUGGGCGGAGCAAUCGAAGAAGUGGAGCUCGUCUCUGUGAACUGAAGAUGAAGGAAGAAAAAAUGUUGCUGGUAGAGCAAUCAGAGAAGUGGAGCUCAUCUGUGAAGAUGAGAGGAGAAAGUGCGAAGAGAGAGAGAGAGAGAGAGAGAGAGAGAGACAUUUCAAAUGUAGUGGUGCGGGGAGUGGAUCUCAAAUCCAAGUUUACAGCCAAAAGCUGAUGGUUUUAAUGAAGAAAACCAUGGACUGUAGUGGUUUUAAUAAUGAAAACCACCCAAGGUGGACAUGUGGACAUGUGGACAUGUGAUGCGAAAAGGUUGAUGGUUUUAAUAAUAAAAACCACCACGUGGGUUUUUUAUAUUUUUAAAAAUUUGUUAUAUAUAUUGUGUGUGUAUAUAAAUUUUAUAUAAAUUAUAAAUUAUUUAGAUAAUUUUUUUUCUAAGAAAGCAUAUCAUAUAUGUACAUAAAACAUUCACAUAUAUAUGUUCUUUAAUAAGAAAUAACAUAUUAAUCAAUAAUUAUUUAUAUUUGAUAUAGUAAAUUUAAUUAAUUCAUAAAAUAUAUAAGAAAUUUACCUAAAUCCGCCUAGGCCGCCUAGGCGCUAGGCGCUAGCCCGCCGCCUAGGCGCUAGGCGCUAGCCCGCCGCCCGACUAGCGCCUAGCGUUUUUUAGAACCUUGAUUAUAACCACGAUAAGUGCACAACCACACGCCUCCCUCACGACGGCUUCGAUGAUGGCUACCUUCUCUUCAACUCCGCCCUUUUCCCUUUCUCUCAUGAUAGUGUCCAAUCUCAAUCCAAUUCCGGCAGUGAAAAAGAUUGUGACAACGAAGGAAGAUGGGUAAACUGAUGGAGGUGGGCAGUUUUGAGGCCAUGGUGGUGCUGCGAAGCUUGGAUGGGGUGAGGCCUGGAUGUUGGUGCAGCUGCCGUAUUGGGGAAUCGUGGUGCAAAUGGGGUUUGGAGGUUUGUUGCUUCGAUGGUUUUGGAAUUGGGAUGGUUAACAGAUUUUUAUCAUUUUUUUUUGUUAAAGAGAUAUACAAAUAUAUAUAUAUAUAUAUAUGUAUAUGUAUAUAUCCUAUAUAUUCUAACAAAUAAAAUUUAACAGAAUUUAGAGAUAUAUAAAAUGUUAUAUUAGGAAUAAGGGAGGGUGGGAAAAGAGAGUUUUUCAUUUUUAACUUUUUAUGAUGGGUGAAAUUAUAAGGUGGGUGGAAAAAUAGGACAAUGGAAUGGGACUAGUAACACUCUAAAUUAAACACACCUAAAAGAAGUGACGUUUGCCAGGAAAAUAAAAGGAUAACCAGAAAAGAAACAAAACAAAACAAAACAAAACAUUUAGAAAUACAGUUAUCAAACGGUCAACUGUUUCAUUUUGCAGUUGAUUAUUCUUAAAACACAAUAGAAACAGUUUUUUUUUAAUUUUUUAAUUUUUAAUUUUUUUUAAAGCAUAGCAAUUCCAAACUGGCUCUUAGUCAUGUAAAAUGGUGGAUUCCCAUGUCUAUUUUAAGGAUCAUAAAAAUCAAUUAUCAAUGACACACCCUGACCCCAAUGUCCAGGUGAACACCAAAAUCGAAGCGUAAUGACCAUCACCCAGAAUCUGACGUAGCCACAACAUGCUGUCAAUACAAUAAUAAAAUAACUUUGAAUAAUUUACCAAAAAUUCGGUAGAGUUUGCUUUGAAAUUUGGUUCUGGCCUAAAUUUAAAACCUGCUUAAAAUAUUAUAAUUACUUUAACACAACAUCCCCUAAGGGCCACAUCGAAUGGGUUAUCAACCGUCCACUACUUUGCAUGAUAAGUUGUUCAGAGCAUGGCAUAUGUUUUACAACAAAAACGGAAGAGGUGAAGGUGCAAAGAAAUCUGAAACUCUCAUCCUAUCAUGAAUGGACAUUCAUACAAACAAAAAGCACUUUAGGGAGUAGUCCUACUCGAUACGGUUUAGGACUCGAACCUAAUGAUAUGUACCUUGCUGGGACUCUAACCUGAAAUGUUGGAACUUGAAGCCAUAAUACAAAAUAGUUCGGACUAUAAACCAAAACAUGAAUAAGUUGAGACUCUAACCCAAAACAUGAAUAAGUUGGGAUUCUAACCCAAAACAUGAAUAAGUUGGGACUCUAACCCUAAAUAAUAGUUGAGUUUGAAAUUUAACGUACGUCAUGACAAUAAUGUAUACGGCCGUACGAGUAAGGUGCUAUGAUGUGAGUACAUAUGCCUACGAAGUAGUGUAUAAGAUCAUAAUCCAAAACGAUUACCAAAUACAUGAUCAUGCCUAGUAGUGAAAGCAGUAUCUCAAAGAAUCGUUUUUAAAAAUUCAUCAGCUAAAUCAUGUUUCCAACAGUAAACCAAGUAUAGGAAUGAUCAUAAUCAUAUUUAAAAUCAUUUAUAUAGAUAUGUAUAUAAUGAAAACCAUUUUUGAAAUUAAAUUUCCACUCACCUCCAGCUAGCUCUCGCUUGAUAGCCUAGUCUUUACCAAUCUUGGUUAACUUUGUAUCUAGACUGAAUCAUAAUAAUAUCACGUCCUGAAUUCGGAAACCUGAUACACCAUUUAAUUUUAUUUAAUUUUAUGGUUGUGUUUGGGCCCAAAAUAACAGUUUGGGCCGAAUGUAGGGUCAUUCUCGGCCCGGAAGGCCUUGCGGCAAGAAUACCAUUGAUCGUUCAGUACGUGGGCCUCCAAACCUAGGUUGGCUAGGUCGUAACACAAGAGGUCGAAUCCUAGUGCCAUAAGGAGUCUCGGCAGGACCCGGAAGCGAAUCUGGCUCAGUUAAGGACUAAGUUCACAGUCCUAGUGAAGGUAGGACUGGUCGAGUUGAUGUUGAUCAGGGGAAGAAAACCUAGUUCGAGUAGGUCUCUAACUCGACCUUGGGGGGAGCCAUUGCUAUAAAUAGAAGAGGUUGCACAUCAUUCGAAGCCCCUGCAAAUCAAUACAAAAUUGCCCUGCGCAAACUCUCACAACUUGUGAUUUUUCUUUUUCCUUUUUCGCUGACACAUCUUCUGUUGGCAUCAACAGCACUGUGGAAGCAACCGGUGAUAUCUUAAGUCGGCAUAGAUAGCUCUGUCACCGUAGAAUCAGUCGGUCUCACAGUAUCUUCCGUUGGCAUCAACAGCACUGCGGCGAGAACGAUUGAUUACCUAUCCAAGUCUCGGCCGAGAAGGGUUUCUAAAUCCUUAUUGGUCGAGGUCCUCUCAUCAGCCUUCUCGGCGAAGUGAGGUGUUACAGUUAUUACAUUCGGCACAUUGAAAGCCGAAUUUGAUAUUGAACUUCGUAAGAAUAGUAACCUUGUCUUCAGGUUCGAGAGCCCAAGAGGCCGAGACGUGUUCCUUUCUCGGCCGCAAUCGCAAGAUGCAGAAGUCAAUAGCGCGACCCAACGCAACAUCAACAAAUUUACUCCUCGGCCGAGCUCGGCCGACGAGUUGGCAUGCCCCGCAUUCACUGAAGGACGUAGUUAGCUCAUUAAUUACUCAGCCUGCGCGCCACGUAGGCUUGGUAGUUUCUAGGGUCAACAGGUUGCAUCUAAUUUUCAAGUUAAACUGCUUACGUACUUUGUGAACGGAUAAAGCCAAUUGUAGCUCACCUUCUAUAAGAGAAUUUCAACGUAAGCUACUUGCGUUAUUCCCAAAACGAAAUGAAAUGACAAUGGGAAGAAUCUGCCCUUUUUCUUAGCACUUCCUUUCCGUUAUCGUAAAGUGAUGCGUAAAAUAAGUUAACACACAAAAUUAAACCCUCUUUUUAUCAAAUGUAGUAAAGUAUGUAAGUAGGGAUCGUUCUAGGCCGGGGAUUAGGAGGGAUUGCUAAACACUUGAAAACUGACUUAAAAACAUAAAAACAAAAUUUAAAACACUAAACUAGACUCAAAGAAUGCAAAACUAUACUUUAAAAUACUUAAACAAACAUAAAACUCAAAACAGCAACCUAAUGACUCAAAACUGCCUAAAAACCACUUUCUGGGCAGUUUUGAGAACCUAACAAGAACUUGGACGAAGUUGGAUGAAAACUUGAAUCAAAACACUUAGAAACACAAAUCAAAACACUUUCUAACUAAUCUAAGACUUCAAAAUAAAGGGGGAUUUGUUUUGGACGAAAAUUGAAAAUAAAACAGAAACUUUAAAACAAAACAGAUUGUAAAACGUUUUUGGAUGAAAAGGAUGGAUAAAAGGCUAGUUAGGAGGUUCUUCUCCACACAUGACACACUUGCAAAGAAAAUGAUUUUCAGUUGUUCUUUCAAUAAAUUAUGAAACUCAACACCCCAAGUUAAUUAGAUACGCUUAAAUUAACCUUCAAGUUCUCCUUAAGUUAAUGAAUUGGAUGGAAAAGCGCAUACAACAAUUCAAAGCAUUCCUCAAAGGUUCCUUACGUGAUGAGCACAAUAAAGAUACAAUCAAGAAUCAUGAAGCACAAUGAGAACUAUAAGUGUUGACGAGGCAUUCGUUACUAUGAUUAGCAUGAAACUAGUGCCAAGAAUUCAUUCAACGCGAUCGUUUUCAAGCGACCUUCACUACUUGUGAUUAUAAGAUUGUAACUAUUAGGUGAAACUCCCUCAUAAUCUAGCAUCAUAUUCAUGCAUGAAAACUAAGCGUGCACUCUCAAUCAACAUACACAAAUAAGUUAUCAAUCAAGUAGAUGAACGAAUUGAAUCCGCAACUUAUGAAAUAACAACUGAAUGUAAUCAAAUCAUAUUGCAAGCAUGUACAUGGUUUCGAAUCACCCCCAACUAAGGGGGUUUAGUUCCUCAUUCUUGCAAUACAAAGAUACAUAAAAUUAGACAUUAAAAUCAAAGGAAAGAAAACACCUAAAAUGCUCCAACUUGGAAAGCAAGUGCAUCAAUGGAUCUCCCUUCCUCCUUGUUGCGGCAUGAAGCUUGUGGACAGAUUUUUGGGUGGAUUUAUGGUGUAGAAUGGAUGGGGAAUGAUAUGGAGGGGUUUAGGGUGAGUGUGGAAGAGUGUUUGAUGGUUGUAAGGUGGUGGAGAACUAGGCAAAGAGGGUGGAAGAAGGUGGAGUGGCUGUUAUGUUUUCUAGGCACUAGAAUGGUGUUUUUGGGGUGUUUUGCUUCCUAGGGUAUGGACGAAUUUCUGUGAUAAAAUGAUGAAUAUGGGGGAUUGUUCUUUGGCCAAGGGGUGUAAACAUGUAUUUAUAGGCCCCAAAAACCUUAGAAAAUCAGGUUAGGCUAGGGAUGAAAUGCAUGGCAAGUUGGUGUGUGUGGUGUGCAAUGGUCCAAGGGUGAAAAUGAAGUGAUGAUGCAAAGUGUGAAGGGUAAAAUGGAGUGGUGUUGCAGCUAGGGAGCAUGAAUGAUUGUGUACAUUGCAUAGAGAUGGAAAGGGAGGUGAAAUGUGUCAACAAAUGGGUCAAAGGUGCAACAACAUGUGUGACACAUGCCCUUGGAUUCCAAAUGUGAAUGAUGGAGCAUCAAUUGGUGCAUGUAAUGGAUGUAAAGGUUGCCUAAAAUCUAAUGGGUGAAGGGAACAAGAGGUAUCAAGCAAUUGAGUGAAAUAAUUAAAUGAAUUAAAGCAUGAAAUCAGAAAUUAUGUAGGGGACAAGAGUGAUCAAGCAUGGCAUGGGAAUCCAAAGGGAAUUCUAUGUGUUUUUGCAUGGCAAGGAGUGUGCAACUUGGAGUGACAAAUUUUUGGGCUGAAUUCUUUAUCUUUUGGACACUAAUUCUUCACAUUCUUGGCCUCUUUAGUUCUCAAAUUCGUCCAUCCACUUUGGCCCAUGCAUUUGCUAUCCAUUCCAAGCCCGAAACAUGCUCCAAAGGCCUCCAAAAUGCAUCUUCUUGCAUACUUUGUACUUAGAGUCUUUCACUUUGCAUGUGGGCUUCUUUGCAUGUGUAUGAUUUGUCAUUGUUUAUCCUUGCAAUUACACACACACACUUGCACACACAUAUGCCCAAAACGUCCAUCCUCAUGCAUGCAAUCCAUUUGAGCCCAAUAUUGAUCCAACAUGCACCAAAAUGCACUUUUCUUGCCAAGGUUGUUAUUAAGACCUACAAACAAAUGAAAAUGGCUUUAAACACUAAAAUAACUAAAGAAACACAACGUAAACGCACAAGAACAAGCCAAUUAAGUCGCAUAAAUAUGCUCCUAUCAUAAAGCAUCUGCAUACACUCAAUUCCCACAUAGAAGUUCAUAUUUUCAAAAUCCACAACAACAAUAAAUCUGCCAACUAUUUAAAAUUAACUAACAACUUCCAACGUCACUUGACAAAAAUCACAGCCAAGGUAAAUAAUUCUUAAAAUUAACGGGUUUAGGGUUUUUCUCCGAUUUUUAUCUCAACGUCUCCAAUCCACACUACACCUUAGCUGCUCUAGCCUGCGACUUCCUCUGCGUUUUCACUAUGAACAAAGGUCUCUCACAUACAAAUCAAAAUCCGAAUUAAAAGGCUUGACUCUCAAUCUUUUCAAAAAAUUGGAAACUUGGAAUUUGGAAUAUCCACUUAGAUAUUCUAGAAGCCCAUCAAGAGAGGAGUAAUUUUCCCUCUUGAGUCGAGACCCAAAUUCGGAGAGAUUGGCCGGAAUAGGCAAAAAAUAGCCGGGAACCAUCGAAUUUCAAGGCUCCAAUCUCUGCGUACGCUUUAUUUCAACGUGUAGGUAUGAUGUCAAAUCUAAGAGGGCUCCGAUAUGAAUCAGAGAGCCUCUGAUGUUGCGUUAUUUCAUUGUAUAGCCUAAACCCCAAUCCCUCUAUCUAAACACACCAAAAAGAAGUGAUGUCUGCCAGGAAAAUAAAAGGAUAACCAGGAAAUAAAAAAAUUAAAAUUAAAAUUAAAAACCAAGGAUUAGAAAAAAGAUAGGGAGUUACAAACCGUUUCCGAUAAGAACAACUCCUACAAAUUUGGUUCCCUUAUAGGUUAAUUAUUGUAUAGCCUAAUCCAACACAUCCUCUUCUCCUUCUCAAAAUUCAAAAAUCAAAACCCAUAAAUAGAUGCACCCUAGUCAAUUGAUCAUUAAUCAAAGAUAUAAAAUGGCUACACGAGUCUGUUCUCGACUCAAACAGUGCCGAAAAGUUGACAUCAUAGCUAUCAUCGUCUGUAUCCCUAUCUGGGUGCUGGGAAUCCUGUUUUUCCACGACCAAUAUAAGUUGACUCCCGUAGAGCCCUAUUUACGGCUCGACUCUUCCACCGUGUGCAAACUCAAGUCGAGUGGCUCCGAGUUAACCGCCACGUGGGACAUGACGGUCGUCGCGGUGAACCCUAAUCGCGUGCUUGCCAUCUCCUUCGACAGCCUGCAAGUCACCAUCUCGUACAAAACGGACACCGGCGACAAAGGCAGAGACGUCUUGCUCACAACGAAGCCGGUGCCUCCUCCUCCUUCGCCUUUAAAUACAGAAACCUCGACCGCUCACAGCUUCAAGAUGGAAACGGUGUCCGCUUAUGUAGGCGAUAACGUGGCCAAUCAAAUCUCCGAAGGGAGAGCUCGUGGAUCGGUGAAAUUCGUGUUCGGCAUGCUAGGUUAUUAUAGGUACGUCAACACUACGCGGUGGUAUUUGACUAGGCGUAGCUUAGAGUUUGGGGUGUUCUGUAGCUGGGUCGAGUUCGGGUUUUCACCGGGUAAUUGGACCGGGACAUUGACAACGAUGGAUCAGUCGGGGGCAUGCGUGGAUGAUCCGAUAUCAGUCCAUUUCAAGUAGAGAUGUGGUUAUAACUUAUGUUGGUUGCCGUACGUUUAGUUAAUUAGGGUGAUUUUUCUUUCUUUGUUUCCCUUGUUUAUUUAUUUUUAAAAAAUAUGCAGUUAAUCCUUGCUUGAUUCGUAAUGAAAAUCAUGGCGAAAUUGUUCGUGUUUAUCUACCUAUGCCACAUUUUUUUCUUUAAUGUACCUCUAUAUUAAGCCGUUACCAAUGGUUUCGCCGUUCAUUACCGAUCGUUUCGUCAUCCUUUACCGAUUGUUUUCGUUUCACCGUGACCGAUCAUUUUUGUUUUGCCAUUAACGAUCGUUUUCGUUUCGCCCACCAAGAGUGUAUGCAACACUUAUUUUUUGUUAUGCUCCUUGAAACUCGAUUUAAUCUCAUUUUCCCGUUUACACCUUGUAACUCAUCCUUUGGAGAAUAUAAAACUUCCUCGACAAGUUCAAGGUUGGUUAUAUACAUCCAAUCCUCACAUGCAUUUUCUCUAACCAAGAGAAAGAAAAGUGAGAGAAUGAGAGCACUCUUCUUUAUAGUGAAGAGUACUCAUCCUUAGAGUGAAGAGAUUGAGUUUUAGUUUUCAAUGAGAGAAGACUAAACACCACCACCACCACCAAAACUCGCCAACAGCCCUCUUGAGCAAGAGUGCUCUAGCUUAUCACUCUUACUCAUCAUCGAUCCAUACCUUAAUUUUAAGAUGGAUUACAACGGUUUGAUCCUCAUGAAGAUGUGUGCGUGGGCAAUCUACUCAUCCAAUUGUUAGAUGCGGCCAAAAAAUAUUCAAAGGGUGUUUGAGACACCCUAACCCGAUUCGCCGUCAAACUAGAUGUGCCAGCCAUCACAAAAGUAGUGAUGAAGCCAUAGGUAAAGAUUAAAAACUGUGUGACAAUUAGAACCAACGAGCUCAAUUUAUUAAAAUAACUAAAAUUAUCUUGCAAGGAAAGUCAAACUACAAAUAACCUCCCCCAGGAGACUCUGUAAGGUUUUUCUCUUUUAUUACUUGUCAUAUUAGUUGCGCAUAUAGCAGCAGUAAAUCGAACAGUAUUCGCAAUAGUGAUGUUUAACUAUAACCGUAAGUUUGGUUAUUUAUUAGUACAAUUAGAUAAACAUUUAUCUGGUGAAGUGUAAGUGGAUAAUAAACAUUUUUCAAGUAAAAAAAAUUCAAUUGACUAACCCCCAUUUUUGAAAACUCAUAGUUUAAAACUACAUAAUUGUUUCAACCAUAAUAUAGAAAAUACAGUCGGUCAUAAAUAAAAAAUCAUGCCCGAUAAUAGUGGCAAAUCCAGGAUUGAACCUUGGGAGCCUCAGUGUUAAAUACAAGUGUUCUCUAUAAGAACAGAGCGUGAGCACACAAAAAAAAAAAAAAAAUUAGUUUAUUCGUUGAGGCAUUUCGUCAAACACUUGAUUGACUUGUUGUCGUCAGCUAAACUAUGUUGUGCACAUGUCAACAUAUAUUGGCAUAUGCCAAAGUAAUCUAAUAAGUGAUAUAAAGAGAAUUUAUCAAGUGCUACUGAAGCAACCUAUCAAAAUAUGCCUAACAUGCAUUACAUUAAACAUUUAGUAAGAAAAAAAGAGAUAUGUACCAAACAUUUGGUCCCUAUUUCCAUCCACCCUUGUCUGAGGAACUGCAAUACAUUACUAGCAUCUACUAGUGCAAAUACAUGCACAUGUCUGUACAAGGUGUCUACUUGUGUAUCUAGCAUUUACUAGAUAUAUUAAAAAUUUAAUUAUCCUGCGUCGUAGAUAGAUCUAUACUCAAUAAAUGACAACCAUGUGGUGAAAAUAAAUCACAAUAUAAAUAUAAAUCAAUUAAGUGUCAUGUACUCAUCACGAUUUCAAAUCCAGUAUGGUUCAAGACCUUACCAAAAACAUGUAAGUUUAACAAAAUAUGUUCAUCAAAACAUUUGGAAAGGGAUCCAGUCACAGAAACUUGGAUCGUUCUUCCACAACAUGUGGCUUCCUUUUGUUAUGAUUAGUUGAGCUUGCACCUUUAAUAACACCUUUAGUCAAUUUACUAAACAAAUAAGGUUUUUUCUAAGUGUAAACUCGUUUAUUUCCUCCGAUUUGUGAGAAUGUAGUACAUCACAUGAUUCGGGACAUGGAAAAACAUUAGGGUAGGUCUUGAGUCCCCACACACCGACGUACGGAUGUCAUGCACAGUCACACGCCACCUUGUUGCCAGUGAACGCAUCGCCAAUGUCGUCGCUGUCGCUUGGGAAUGUGCCAUUAGGUUUCAAUGUGAUACAUUUUUAUUUUUCUAUUUUCCUUGUUAUGCGGGAAGGAUGAUCAGCACAUGAACAUCUUAAUAUGGCUUCCCCUUACUAUUUCUUUUGCAUGACCAACACACCUCUUUAAAUUGUCAGAGAAAAGGGAACAUUUGGCUUUUGGUUUUCAUCAACUGUCAUGGCACUGGUAGAAAAAAUUAUUUGCGCAAUAGAAUUUUAUGCGACGAAGCAAAAUUUGUCGCUAUAAAUAGUCAAGCGCGAAGAAUGCGAGACACCAUCGCGCAAUAUUAUCAAACAUUGUGCGACGACAAUUUUCAUCUCAAAAAAGAUCUUUGCACGACGAAAAAACAUCGUCGCGCAAACUGCGGGAAAAAACGCAGGGAAGUCUUUUUUUCUUCUUCUUCUUUUUUCUUUUUGCGGAAAAAACAAUGCAGCAACGAAACAUUUCCCGCUGAAGUGUGGCACAACAAAGUGUUCGUCGCGCAAGUUUUUUACUUUAGACGGUCAGUUAUCUGAGUCAAAGGAUUCAAUGCCAUUGAAUCAAAGAAAUCAAUGCGGCAUUUAUUGAGGGAUUUUGCACGGCGAAUUGUUCGCUGGGCAAAGUGGCCAAGCUUUCUAUAAAUAACCAGUUUCACUGUCAAUAUUUCUCAAACCUUUUCCCGGAUUACAAUUGUAGUUGUUAUUUAAAUUUAAGCACGAUGGAGGACUCAUGUGAUUGUUCGUCAAUAAUAAUGGAGGGCGAAAGUUUCGGAAAAGGUAAUACCCAGUAAAUUAUGUGUUUUGUAUAUAGUUUAUAUUUUGCAUUAUUAUUUUUUAUAUUUUUUUAGUAGGCAAGAAAAAAAAAGAGCUGCCCUUGUGGUCUGAUACAGUUUUGGUGGGAGCCGCUGGCCCUCCUCCUACAUGGGGUACUCAGUAUUCCCGAUUCCAUCUAAACCCUAUUCCCUUCUUCCAGUUAUUGGUUAUCCACAUGCGUCCCCUUAGUUCUCGACGUCCACUGCCACACUCCACCCUCUCUUCCUAUCGUUUCAACCCCACCAACAGCCCCUUACCCUUCCUAUGGAACCGCCCACCUUCAAUGCUCCUAAAUACAUGGUGGUACAAUAUUACCUUUCAUUCGGUCACCCAAAUGACUCCCUUUGAAGCUGUCUAUUGUUACCCUCCACUGCGAGUCACGUCUUAUUUACAUGGUUCACCAGUUCACCUUGUGAAUGUUGUGCCGAAAAUUGGUAUGUUUUAAAUUUAUACUCGCAAGCGCACGAAUCUAUUGAAAUAUAAAGGAGUUUAAGUACGUGGUCGAAUCCACAAAAGAUUUAUUAAAAUGAUGGAAAACCUAAUCAAACCCGAAUUAACUUAAUACUAACUUAGUUGUAGAAAAGUAGUUGUGUUGAGCAAGCUAAUCAUGUGAACAUGAAAUUAGUGAAGAAAAUAAAUGAGAAAAUUAACCAAGGUAUCGGCCACUCCCAUUAAUCCAUAAAUUCCUAAUUAUUUAUCUAACAAUUCCUAGCUCACAAAGUAGCAUUAAUCAUAUUAAAUUCUUCUUCGCUUAAAGAUAUAAAUUCGAAGCAUCACAUGUAAACUAAUCAUUGAACUGCAUAAGAUCAAAGCAUGCUAAGCAUCCUAUGUGAAGAAUAAUAUUUGAAUGAUACAUGAUCCAAGUUUGAUAAGAAUUACAAAACCAAGCAUGGUUCAACGAAGUUUGGCUUCAAAACUAUCAAGAAUGCAUGACAUUAAAAAUGAAAAGAACAAAAACUUCCUUUAACCAUUUGAAGCAAGAAUCAUAGGCAUUAAUAAGAUCAUCAAGGGAAUUGAAGAGAUAACGGAAAAACUUGUUUCAUAAUGGUUGUUUCCUCCUUAACUAAGGUUAAGGAUAAGGAGUUUAGCCACUUAUAGUAACAAAAUACAUAAACUAGAGUGUUUGUAAGACAUGGAAAAAGAGAUAAAACAAAGGACAAACUGAAAUAGAAUGGCUCUCCUCUCCCCCGUUUUCUGCAGCUCCUCUCCGUUAUAAGAGAGCUGGAGCCUGGAAGUCCAAGUAUUGCAAUUAUUUGGCAGCUACAACUUGCUUGUAGCGGGUGAAUUUUUUCCUCCGUUUCUUUUACUUCCAUCACUUCUUGUCUUCACGCAUGAUGAAUUCCACCUCCUUUAACCAUUUAGUGAACAACCACUGCAGGUUUAUUACUCCCUCUCGUUGCUCCCAACUCUUCUUUCAUCCAUAGAGGCUAGAAGUCCAACUUAUGCAUUUAUUGGGCAGCUGCUACAGUUUCCUUAGAACAAGCUUCAGUAUUUUGAGCACACAGAACGCUACAGUGAAUAGAUUAUCCCCACAUUUGGAUAUGUUACAUUAGACACAAUUUGGAGAAACUUUCAUGACAAAGUCGUUUUCAUUUGAGCAUUUUAAGUUGACAUUUUGAGCCCCUGCGAAUCUGAGCAUCUGUCGGCGUGGGAUGCACUGGGAAUGCUACAGAGCUUAGAUUGGCGCCAAUUUUGAAUAUGUUGGAGUAGACAUAAUCUGAACCAACUUCCAUGGAUAAGUCAUCUAUAUCCGAGCGAUCUACAUUGAUGGUUUGAGGCCUGGGAGUUGACUGAUGAACAGGAGCUGCUAAUUCCAGCUUGCUGCCACAACUUGCAUGCAGCCAUGCAUGUAUCAAUUACCUAAAAUGAAAAGCACCUUCUAUGAAUUUGAUAUCGGAGCUUACAAGUGUGAAUGAGAAGAAAGAGAAGUUUAUUUAUACUUGACAUAAAAUAAGACAAACUAUCUUAAAUUAACUGAACAGAGGACUAAAAAUUCUAAACUUAGCUGAAGAUGUGACAUAAAAUGUGCUCAUCAGGGGACACCACCCUUCGUGACCGUGAUGCCUUGCUCCGUCACCUUCGUGAGAACCUGCAGAUGGCUCAAGACAGAAUGCGCCACUAUGCUAGAAAUUUUUUUUGAGCGAGAAUUCACGGUUGGCGAUUGGGUCUUCCUCCUCUUACAACUAUCGCCAAUCCUCUAGCAGUCACACCAACUGCCCCAAACUGGCACCCACGUAUUAUGGUCCUUACAAGUUUAUGCUUCUCUGUUAUAUUUGUCAAUAUUCCAACAUUUCUGGAUAAAGAGAGCAUAACAUGAUCCAUCAGGUUGAAGAGUUAUAUAUAUAUAUAUACACACACACACACACACAGAGCUUAAGAGGAGGGAUCCCCAUUUUUUGAAAAAAAUGGGGAUUAGGUGUGGGGCCCACUUCACAUCUAAUUUCAACGAUCCGAACCAUUUAUUUUGUUAGUCUCGAUUCAUAGAUCAUCAUUGCAAAAAUUCAAUUCAAUCCGAAACCAUUUGCCUAUUUAAUUAUCAAUAUCAAAUUUCAUAUUUUCUUAUAUAACAAAGUAUUCGUUCAUUUCCUUGAACCCAAUUAGAUGUCUUAAACAUUUCCAAUUUAGCUAAUAUUUUGCAAGGAUGAUUUAUGAAUCGAGACUAACAAAAUAGACGGUUCGGAUCAUUGAAAUUAAAUGUGAAGUGGGCCCCACACCUAAUCCCCAUUUUUUUCAAAAAAUAGGGAUCCCUCCCCUUAAGCUCUUUGUGUGUAUAUAUAUAUAUAUAUGUAUGUAUGUAUGUAUGUAUGUGUGUGUAUAUAUAUAUAUAUAUAUAUAUAUGUAUGUAUGUAUGUAUGUAUAUCAAAUAUUCUUCUAAGCAGCCUGUAAUAAUUAAUUAAAAUGAGAAUCAUAGAGCCAAUGCUCUGAAAAUCGAAAAAGAUUUUUGUAUCUAACAAAACUUAGAAGUAAAUCUUGGAUCUAGAUCAGAAAUAAUAUUCACUGGAACUCCAUGAUACUUCACAAUCUUCGGGAUGAACAACUUAGCCAAUUUAUUCAGAGGAUACUUUUCCCUCACUGGGAUGAAGUGUGCUGACUUGGUAAGCCGAUCUACAAUCACCCAAACGCCAUCAAACCCAUUCUGAGUACGUGGAAGCGUAUUCACAAAAUCCAUAGUUAUAUUUUCCCAUUUCCACUGAGGAACAAGAAGUGGUUGUAUUCGUCCAAAAGGCUUCUUUCUUUCUACUUUGACUUGCUGGCAAACAAUACACCUACUUACAUAUUCUGCAAUUUCCCUCUUCAUACUCGGCCAAUAAUAAAAUGGUCGAAUGGUAUGGUACAUUUUAGUCUCUUCUGGAUGCAUCGCAUAAGCCGAACAAUGUGCUUCAUCCAAAAUUUCCUUCUUUAAUUCCUCAUUAUUCGGCACAUACAUUUUGUUCUCCUGCAUAAGCCUGCCAUCUAAUUCUUGAAUCCUGAGGUCUUUCUUUUUCCCUUCAAUUCUCAGUUGGAUCAUUUCCUGGAUCUCUUCAUCAACCAUCUGAGCUUCAAGUACACGAUCGACUAAAACUGGCUUGACUUGGAAACUAGCAAGAAAAGCUUCUCUUCGUUCUUCUAACUCCAACUUUACUCCAGUAGCUCUCAAAUCUGUAAGAAGAGGAACACGAGAAGCAUACAAAGCAUUAAGUCGACCUUGAGGUUUCCUACUCAGUGCAUCAGCUACCACAUUUGCACGACCCGGAUGAUACUCAAUAGUGCAGUCAUAAUCACUAAAUAACUCCAUCCACCUUCGCUGACGAAGAUUAAGAUCAUGCUGAGUAAAGAGAUACUGAAAACUCUUAUGAUCUGUGAAGAUCUUACACUUCGCACCAUAGAGAUAAUGCCUCCAAAUCUUCAAAGCAAAGACAAUGGCUGCCAACUCAAGAUCACGAGUAGGAUAAUUCCUUUCAUGAAUUUUCAAUUGUCGAGAAGCAUAGGCAAUCACUUUAUUAUGCUGCAUCAAAACACAUCCCAAACCAUUCAAGGAUACAUCACUGUAGACCCCAUAAUUACCGUUAUCAUCUGGGAGUGCUAAAACAGGGGUGUGAGUGAGAUAAUACUUCAGUUGCUGAAACUUUGCUCACAAUUCUCGUCCCACUCGAACUUAACAUCCUUCCUGGUUAACUUCGUUAGUGGCAAAGCAAUCAUAGAAAAAUCUUGAACAAAUCGUCGAUAGUAACUUGCUAGACCAAGAAAACUCCGCACCUCAGUGACGAUUCGUGGCUGUUCCCAAUUCUCCAUUGCUGCAAUCUUUUGAGGAUCUACUUGAAUUCUUUGAGCGAAUAUAACAUGUCCCAGAAAUGUCACUUGAUUUGUCCAUGAUGUGAAAAUUAACUAGCACUCAAAUUAAACCCUCUUUUUAUCAAUUGUAGCAAGUAUGUAAGUAAGGAUCGUUCUAGGCCGGGGAUUAGGAGGGAUUGCCAAAUCACUUGAAAACUGACUCAAAAACUUAAAAACAAAGUUUAAAACACUAAACUAGACUCAAAGAACACAAAUCUAAACUUUAAAACACGAAAACAAACCAAAAGACUCAAAACAGCAAACAAACACUCAAAACUGCCUUAAAACCACUUUCUGGGCAGUUUUGAGCACUAGGGAAGAAUUUGGACGAAAAUUGAUUUUAACUUGACUCAAGACACCUAAAAACACAAACUAAAUGGAUUUCUAACUAAUUUGACACUUGAAACUAAAGGGGGAUUGAUUUUGGACGAAUUUUGAAAACAAAACAAAACUUUGUAAAUUGAAAAGACUCUAAAACGAAUUUGGUUUAAAUGGAUGGAUGGAAGGCUAGCUAAGGGGUUCAUCUCCACACAUGUCACACUUGCAUAUAAAACGAUUUCCAAUUGCUUUUCAAUAAACCACGAAUUCCCAACGCCCCAAGUUAAUUAGGUCCGCUUAAAUUAACCUUCAGAUUUUCCUAAUGUUAUUGAAUUGGAUGAUUGCAUACGACAACCCAAAGCAUUCCCCACAAAUCCCCUACAUGAUUGCAUAAUACAGAUACAAGCAAGAAUCAUUAAGUUCUAUGAAAAUCAUAAGCAUUGACGAAGCACUUGUUACUAUGAUUGCAUGAAACUUAUGCCAAGAAUUUACUUAAAGCGAUUGAGAUCAUCAACCUUUACUACUUGUGAAUAUAAGUUCAUAACAAUUAGGUGAAACUCCCUUAUAUCCUAGCAUCAAAUUCAUGCAUGCAAAUUAAGUGUCGACCCUCAACCAACAUACACAAAUCAGUUUUAAUUCUUGUAGAUAAGUAAAUUGAAUUCACAACUUAUGAAACGCAAUUAGAAGUAAUCAAAUCAUAUCGCAAGCAUAAACAUGUAUUUCGAAUCCCCCCCUAGCCAAGGGGGGGUUUAGUUCCUCAUGCGUACAAAACAAAGAUAAAUAAGUUUAAACAUUAAAAUCCAAAGAAAGAAAACACCUAGAAUGCUCCAACUUGACAGCAAGUGCAUCCAAGAAUCCUCCUUCCUCCUUGCUGCGCAGAGAACUUGUGGACAGGUUUUUGGGGUUAUUUGUGAUGUAGAAUGGAUGGGGGAUGUGUGGUGGUGUCUAGGGUUGAUGGGUGGUGCGGCUAGGAUGGUUUUUGGGCAGAAAUUAUGGAAUAUGGUGGUGCAAGGGUGCGGCAAAAGGUGAGUGUAUGUUUCUGGCGUGAAUGAUGAAUUGUGAGGGAUGGUGUGUAUGAAUGGGUGCGACAAAUCCUUUAUAUAGGCUCUAAAAACCCUAGGGGAAUCAGAUAUGGACUUCUAGAAUCCAAAUCCACAAGGAAAAAGGCCUAGAAAUCAGAAAUUCAAUGGGAAAAAGGAUAAAAGGUGCGGCACUAAAGGAUAGGGUAAGAUAAGGCUUCUAGAAAGCCUUGCAAGGCAAGGAAAUAGGGCAUCUAGAAGGGAUAUGUGCGGCACCCUCUUAGGAAUGUGGAUAGGGCUUCUAGAAAGCCUCUAAUGCAAGGAUAAGGUGUCCUAAAGUGUUUGGGAUUCCUCAUUCUUCUUGGAAACCUUUUCCUUCUUCAACUUGGAAUACUUCUUUCUUCUUGAAACUUGAUGCCAUUUGGAUUUAACUUUCCUACUUCAAGUAGGAAACCUUGUUUGAGUAGGAAACUUCAUUCGUCUAGGAAUCCAUCUUCAAUUAGGAAUCCAUCAUUGAUUAGGAAUCCUUCUUCAACUAGAACUCCUACUUUGACUUGGAUUACAUCUUCAAUUAAGCACUUUCCUACUUCAACUAGGAAACCUUGCUCAAGUAGGAAACAUCAUCUUCAAAUCUUUAAUUUCGUCCAUUCUCUUGGCUCCAAGCAUAUGUUGUCCAUUCCAAGCUCUAAAUUGCUCCAAAAGGCUCCAAAAUACAUCAUUUUGCAUACUUUGCCCUUAGAACCUGAAAACACAUAAAACUAGCUUAAAAGACUACUUUACUAAGGAAAAACACUAUAAAUGCACAAGAACAAGCUAAACUAAGGCGCAUAAAUAUGCUCCUAUCAGUCCAAAAUUGACAUUUGUCAAACUUUGCAUACUACCAAUGUUCCCUUAAACAUUGCAACACCAACCCAAAAUGACUAGCAUACUUUACUUUCAACUUAAGAGUAUACCAGACCUCAACUUUUUCCUUGAAACAUAUAAGCACCUCUAAGCUGAUCAAACAGUCAUCAAUGCGCGGUAAUGGAUAACGGUUCUUACUUGUUACCGGAUUCAAUUACCUAAUAUCCAUACAUAUUCUUAAGGUCCUGUCUUUCUUCCUUAUAAACAAAGUUGGGGUUUUCCAAGGUAACUUACUGGGUUGAUUGAAACCUUUAUCAACUAAUUCCUGUGACUGAAUUUUCAAUUCUUUUAACUCUGUAGGAACCAAUCUAUAACAUAAAAUCUGUACUUGGAGACAAUUCAAUAAUGAACACCACAUCUCUGUCUGGUGGCAAUCCAUGUAAAUCAUUCUGGAAACACAUUAGGAAAAUGUCUACCACUCGUACGUCAUCCACAAAUCUAGGAGUACGAUCCUGCAACACCAUAUGAGCUAGGUAUCCUUGGCAACCUUUUGAUAACAAUCUCUUUGCUCUCACAACAAAAAUAACGGCAUGCAUCACUCCACUUUGCUUACUCACAAAAGUAACCUCUGAUAAUCCAAGACAAUGGAAAGUAACUGAUUUCCUGUAGCAAUCCAUAUUGGCACGAUUAUAAUGCAACCAAUAUGUGCCUAAAAUCACAUCAAAAUCCACAUUGUCUAACAGGAUAAGAUUCGCUGGCAUAACUACUUCUUCCACCAUCACUGGACACCUUGAAUAAUCAUAACCGACAUAGAAUGACUUACCUGUUUACUUGCUUAACGAAUCCAACAAAUAAGUUAUGGAUAUUACGGUCUGCAGCCCGCAAUAACAAUAACUCACUGUUGUCUCGAUAAGUAAGCAACAAUUCUUAAGGGUGCAAUAUUAUCAUCUUGCUCUUCAUUAGAAAUACAUAUACACUCCUUGAUCGUGCUUAUUCACUACUUUCUUUGGCAACAUCGUCAAUAACAUAAAAUUUCUACAUCACAAUAAAUUAAAACUCUAGCAAAGUAACCAAGAAUGUUUCACGUGCCCAUGAUCAAGUCCGAAAGAUUUUGAGUAUCUUGUAGCUCUAUGUCCCAUUUGUCCACAUGUAAAGCAUCAUCUGCUUUCCCGCCUACACUCUCCAAAGUGUAUGCUAUUGUACUUACGGCACAAAGGUACAUUUCCUCUACCAGAGUCACCUCGCCUCUGUAAUCUAGGAUCUCCAGUAAAUCUACCACCUCGCAUCUGACUAAUGGUACAAAAAUCUCUGCUGACAAAACUAGAAUUAACUCCACUUCUUUUGAAGUUCUAAGUCUUGCGAGGUUCUUGAGACACAUGACCUUUACCUUGGUCAUUUUUCCUUUGAUUCUCAUUCUUUUCCUUGUCUCAAAUUGUAAACUCUUGUUUCUUACCGUCCAUAUAUGCUGGAGGAAUAAACCUUUUCUUAAACAACUUUUUAAACAAUUCUCAUUCAGCUGUUUCCUCCGGUGACAUCGUAUAAGACUCAUAUCUCCACCAGGAUGCAAUUUCAAUACUCAGAAACCAGAUAGUCAUCUCGACCUACCUUUCAAAAGAAAGAUUCCCUUAACUUGCAGAAUUUGAAACGCCCUUUCCAAUGAUUAAGCCAUCGAUCUACUCCCUCCGGUCUUUCAUAUCCAUAAAGUGAUUCAGAUUCAACUUAUAACCAUUCUCAAAAUGAGUCCUUUGGGAAGGACGGAUAACAGACUGAAUCACAUUAGUAAUAGUUUCCCAUAACUAAGUUAAAUCGGGGAAACUUAGCUCAUCUGAACAAAGUGGCUAUCUACAAGGCGGUAAAGUUCUGACAGAAGACACUAGGGAAUUCUCAAGAUGUCCAGGACUACAACUUAGGCUCUGAUACCAACUGACACAUCCCGUCCCGAAGAAGGGCAUACUGGCCGUCACGUGAGAGUGAUGUAACCAUUUACACAGUUCGGAAGCUUUAAAGAUACAAUUACUAAGAUAUAACACCCGAGGGUGAAUCCUACUUUUGUGAAUUCUGUCAGAACACCGAUGGAUUCCUCGUGGCCACCAAAGCUCUGCUAUCUUGAACCUAGAGGGGCGCAAAACAAAGUUGAGUGGGUCAGUAAAACAAAGUUUUUUCGAAAACAUUUCAUUUAACAACAUUUCUAACCCUUCACUGUAAAACCUAUAUACUUUCCCAGAAAAUAGUAUAUAUAUAACCAUAUAUAAUCUCAAAACUCAAAUCACAAGUCUUUAACACUUUUCAAGAAAAUAUGCCAUGCUAUGCAUCAAAACAUAAUAAAGAUGCAUCAAUAACUAGGGGUGGGUUCGGUUUAAAUCGGUUCGGUUUUUUGCCAAAACCGAAACCAAACCGAAAUUUCGGUUCGGUUCGGUUCGGUUCAAUUUUUUUUCGGUUCGGUUUUUUCCAGUUCGGUUUCGGUUCGGUUUCGGUUUUUUGUUUUUAUUUUUUUUCAAAAAAUGAAAAACAUUGAAAUUUUAAAUUUUAACAUAUCCAACACAAUCAUAACAUAAACAUUCUAACUAGAAUCAAAGACAAUGAAAAUAAACAUUUAAAGUUGAACUAAAAUCAUCAAUCAAGUCUUUCAAAGUCCAAACUAACAACCUCACAACACAAAAAUCACACAAAAAUCGUACAAAUGACUUAGAAAAGUUAAAUUGUAUGAUGUUGUUCAAAGAUCAGUGUUGUUUGCUUGUAACUGCAUGUUGACAACUUGAUUAGUAAAGGUAAUGCGUGGGUGGAUUUAUUGAGUGUGUGUUGGAUUCUUUUCCAUCACAAAUUACCCAAGUAAUCUACCCGAAAUAAAUGUUUAUGGAUUAUGUUACAUGUUAUAUGAGAGUAGAUUUGGAAAAGAAAGCUGGCGCAGAAGUAGACAGUGCUAUGGAGAUGGAUGUAGGUACUUCGGGAAGAGGUUUGGUUCCGGAACCUUAUAUGGGGGAGAAAUAAUAGGUUAGGGUUUAGAGUUUUUAUAAGCCUUUUUUUAAUAUUUUGAGCUUAAAGUUUGGCAACACAUUGGGUUAGCACAUUUUAACUUACAAAUUGGGUUUAGAAAAUAAUACCCAAAACAAAUAAUUAAAUAAAAAAAUUAAUUUAAUUAAUUCGGUUCGGUUCGGUUUGGUUCGGUUUCUAGAUCACUAAAACCGAACCGAACCAAAAGAAUUCGGUUCGGUUCGGUUUUUUUCAAUUCGGUUCGGUUUUUUCGUUCGGUUCGGUUUUUCGGUUUCGGUUCGGUUUGGUUUUCGGUUUUUUUCGGUUUUCGGUUUUUUGAACCCACCCCUAUCAAUAACAGGUGAAAUAAGGAAUCAAUCGGAGACCCUGCAGUUGGUCCUGUACGGUUAAUUUUAUAGCUCAAUAUCCAGUCCAACCGGAGUCACCACUAUGACCUGUAUGGCACUACUCUGCACAUAAAUCGGAACUACCUAAAGUAGUCUGUACGACAAGAAUGGUGUAAGAAUACGCUCUAGUGCUUCUCUCAUCAACAACUGUAUAAUAAUCUAAAGUCACCUACAGGUCAGAACCACCUCUAGUGGUCUGUACGACAUGUCGGAAUCACCAAUGUGAUCUGUACGACAUGCACCUACUUGGAUCCAAGGUGAGCGUGUGGUGCAGGGUGAAUAAUAUAAGCACUAACACCAUGGGUGCAGGUUAUGAGCUCUCAACAUAAUUCACAUCAUCAUUAAAUCACAUGAACAACAUAAAACUCACCUGAUACUCACCUGUGCGUCCACAGCAUCAUUUAACAUAUAUGCAUCAAUUACUAACUCACAUAUUUCAUAUCUAUGUAUGCAUGGCAUUUUAAAACAUACUUUCAUUUAAAUUCAAUUUCUGGGAAAAAUCAAUAGUAUAUAGGUAUAUAUAGAAAAUAACUGCCCACUCACAUGGAGUUCGCCCUACAACUCCCUAGCACAACACAUCGAGGCGUCAUGACGAUCGACGACUAGAACAAACAUCAAAUCAAACCUCAGAAGUCAUAUCGCUAGAAUAUAUAACUUAUAUAAAACACGUCACUAUGCAGUUUGAUCCGAAAGAUCUACAACUCAGAUUUCCAAUCCAUAACUUCCAGAGCUCCACAAUAUAUCCCUAGAACAACAUCCUAAAAUUUCCUUACCAUCCAACGGUCGGAUCUCCGUCAAUUGUCAAAACCAAGUGACGGUUAACAUUCUAUUUUAUGAACUUACAACUCCAAUUCCGGAAGAUCCGUAAAUCGGAUUCCCAAUCCGUAAGUUCCUAUAAUCCUCAAAUAUUACGUAUUACAACGUAUCAAAGUUUGGUGACGAUCCAACGGUCGGAUCGUCAAUUCACAUUUUCACCUAACCACGAAUCGUAACGAACUUAGGUUCAAUUAUUCAAUUUACGUCAAUCAAUUAUCAAACUGAACCUAGAACAUUAAACAAAUGCUAAGAAUGACAUUGGCGGGCCACUGACCACAUGCCGCCGCGGGUGGCGGUUGGCCGCCCCGGCUCGCCAGAAAAUCCAAUCAUCUCCAAAAAUUACCAAAAUUUACAAAAAUGAAGAUCUCAAUGAGUAGAGUAAACUUUAUACCUGAGGUCAAGGCCAAUUUGGCUUGGAAACACUUCAAUUUUGCCAAAACCGUGAAGAACCUUAGAAAUGGAUGUGUUUCAAUUCGACCUCCAAACGUGUUCCGACGCCUCCACCACUGAUUGGGCUUUGUUCGUGGGUUCUAGGGGAGUCUAGUGGUGGUAGCAAUUUGCUGGAUUACCUUCACGAUUGUCGGAUUUUGCCAUAGCACCCUCGGAACCCAUAUUUUCAUUCUACUCGAAUUCAAGCUCAAAUCCCAUAAAAUUAGGUUGGGAAUGGAAGAGGAAAGUACUAGGGGAUGAUUGGGAAUGGUUUCUUAGUCCAAUUUCGAAAGAAAUCCGGUGGAAAACCACCGGAAAAUAUGAAGGAAAGGGAAUGGGUGCACACGGGUCGCGGGUUGGGAGAACCCAUUUUCUUCCUUCUCUUCUCUGCUUCUUGCCCUCUCUCCUUUCCUCCUUUCUUUAUUCCGAUUGGCCGGUCUCCUCUCUCUCUUCUCCCCAUUCGCUGGACUCCCUCUUAGACCCUCCUGUUCCUUUCCUUUCUCUUUUACCGAUUGGGCAUUCCUGCCCAGUCUCUUUUCUCUGUUACUUCUUCCUCUCACGCACACACACACACACAUAAAACCUUCUUCUUCUCAUCCCAGCCAUCCAUUUAUUUCUUCAUUAAAUUUGGCCCGUCCACUUUCAUAAAUGAAAUUCCAGAUUUUACUAAAAUUAUAAUUCCUAAAAUGCCCAAAUUUCAAAUGUUAAAAUCUUUAUCGUUGUAACUCCAAAUCACGAACCGUCUGCGCCCACGCGUCCGUAGCGACUAGUACUACGAGGAUAUGUCAAGAAAACAAUUCUUAGAUGGCACGACACAACGAUUAACCUCGAAUAAUGCGCGUGCCUAGAAGGGCAUUUUUGUAAAAUCCUUUAUUAAAACUUUAAAAACUCUUAAAAUCAGGGACGGGCUGUCACAAGUAGGCCAUAAGUGACAAAAGUUUCCACACAUUAAAAUUACCAAAGCGCAUUAACAAUUUCAUAAUAAUUAAUUUACAAGUGUGAAAAACGUGAAAAAAUAAGCAAACACUCGUAAUUGCAUACUAUACGCUUAUAUAAUGGGUACAUCCAGUGGCGGAUCUAGAAUUUGAACCUUGGGGUUUCAAAUGCUAAAUACAAGUUUUUUUAGAUAGGAACAAAGAACGAAGUGCAUAAAAAAAUCAAUUUAUUCAAUUGGUGGGUUUAUUGUGCACAUGUCCACAAAUAUCGACAUAUGCUGAAGCAAUCUUAAGAGUAAUGUAGAGAGAAUUUGUCAAGUGUUGUUAAUGCAACAUGUCAAAAUAUGCCUAGUAUGCAUUACAUCAAAUAUUUACUAGGCACAAGAAGGACCCAUACCAAACAUUCGGAAGGUCCUUGAAAGACCUUCACAUGUAUAUUUUUCAUAUUCGGGUAGUCUUGGGACCACAUUGGUCCCUAUUUCCAUGUGCCUCUGGGUACAUCGUCUUUUGGAUUUUUUAAACCCUACAAAUGCUCGUGAAAAGUGUUUUUAGGGGGGAUUCAAAAUUACAAAUGUGCGUGGUUGCAUCAUCUACGCUUAGAUUAUAGUUAUACCGUCGUUUAGAUUUUUAAAACCCUCCAAACCUUGAUGAAUGGUGUUUUUUUUUAUUUGAGUAUAAAAUUCAUAAUAAUUAAUGCAAAAGUGUGAAAAAUGUAAAAAACAUAAAAAUAAAAAUAAUACAAUCACUCGUAAUGACAAAGCUUUGCAAUUUUCAUGAAGGGGUCAAUUCCAAGAUUUGACACCAUAAUCCAUAAACCCUAGAUACCGUCGAUUGGCUUUUACGCUGUAUUCUUCUUACUGGAUUGCAUUUUCAUAUUUUAUUUUUUGAAAACAUGAUAUUUUAGCAAAUGCAGAAAAAUAAAUAGUUCGGAUCGUUGAUAUCACGUUUCCAUGUUUACAGUUAACUGCAAUAUUAGUUGAAUUUUUUUUGGUUUAGAGACUUUAUAAACUCUAAGCAAUAUUUUCACUAAUCGUAAAAGCCUAAACGUGAUACCAACAAACCGAACCAUUUAUCUUUCUGCACCUGCUAAAAGAUCAUAUUUUCAAACAAAAAAAAAAGCAAAAUUCGAUGAGACGAAUGGAGUGUAUUGUAAAAAAAACGACAAUCAACAGUUAUAUUUAAAGGAAAUGAACACAAAUAUGCCAUUUUUUUGUUCUUGUGACCAAAAUAGAACAAACCGUGUAACAUCCCACAUCACCUAGGGGAGUGGAUCUUUUAAGCCUUAUAUGUAUAUUCCAACCUCUUCCUAGCAUGAGGCCUUUUAGGAGCUCACUGGCUUCGGGUUCCGUAGGAACUCCGAAGUUAAGCGAGUUUGGGCGAGAGCAUUCCCAUAAUGGGUGACCCACUAGGAAUUUCUCGUGUGAGUUCUCAAAAACAAAACCAUGAGGGCGUGGUCGAGGCCCAAAGCGGACAAUAUCGUGCUACGGCGAAGUCGAGCUUGGGAUGUGGUGGGGGCCUGGGCCGGGAUGUGACAAUUUGGUAUUAGAGCCAAUCCCUGGCCAGAAGUGUGCCGACAAGAACAUCGGGCCCUUAAGGGGGGUCGAUUGUAACAUCCCACAUCGUCUAGGGGAGUGGAUUCUCUAAGCCUUAUACAUAUAUUCUCACCUCUUCCUAGCAUGAGGCCUUUAUAGAGCUUAAUGCAUUCCAGAUUUUUUAACAAGAGAAUUUCUGCAGGGGAAGAAUGUCAGGUAAAAACAGCAAUAGCGAGAGAAGGCUUCUAGCCACUUUUCCACCUCCACCACCAGUAAAACAGGAAUCUAUUCUUGAUUCCUCAUCAUCGGCCCUAGCCAUUACCAACAUAUUUGUUUCCUUAGGAUCUCCUUUAAGAUCAACCGUUGGGGAAUUCCGACCAAAUUACCAAAUGGCAUUAGCCAGCCCAUAUGAUCCAUAUUCAUCAAUGCCCUCACCUUCAACCCCAAAAACACCUAGCUUUGCUAAGACAUCUCCAUAUGUUAAGAAACAUCAUAUGGAACAACUUUUCUGCAUCCCUCACCACAUUAAUAAAAGGCAAUUGCCAAACAAAAUAGCCAAAACCAUACUACCCCCCAAUUUCCAUUAUGUCCUAACUGAAUCUUUCAAAUCCUUACAAUAUUACCAAGCCAUUCUUAGUGAGAUCGAAGGUGUUUCCAUUAAACCUAUCUAUAACACCACUCACCAAAACAAACUUCUUUACCAUUCACUCCACAUUGGCAAAUUUCUUACCAAACAAGAAUGGGGAAUCCCCUUUUAUCAUACCAAACAACUUCACACCAAACAUGGUUAAUUCCCAACAACAAAUACAGUUAUUUUGACUACAUUCAAGCAUGGACCAAUAUAUUUUUACACCAAACAUUCGACUUUAGUCAUUCUUGGUUCAUCACAUUUGAUAAAAGUUUUAGGUUAAACUUCCCAGCUUGGUUUCCAAAUUGGUGGUUAGCUCACGGCCCAAUAACCAGUUUACUACCAGAAGAUCUCAUGCAAUUCCUUUCAUCUGGUUUCCAGAAGCAUUUUGACAAAAGCCGUUUCGAUGACAGAAUCACUCUUCUUUCCUUGUUCAUGGAAAAAUACAAAGUCCCUUGGAUUUAUAAGUGGAAUUAUGAGUAUGAAACAGGUGAAAUUUACAGAGCCAGGUGGGUCAAAUGGUGGGACAAAUUCGACUAUGGAAAAAUUGUCAGUUUAGUCUCAUCGGAAUUUCCAACUACACUUGUUCUAACGAUAUCUCCACCAACAACAUCAACACAGGCAUUGCCAGAAAUCCCAGAAAAUACCCAGUCACUAUCAGACAUUAGUCUUUUAUCAUCCCUCAAAGGAAAAUCCAAAUCAUCAAAAACUUCAAGUUCGAAGAAGAAAAGGAAAUCCUCACAAUUAUUAAAAAUGGCAGCUAAGCUUAUAGCAAAAGCAGCAUUGCUAAACAGUGAAGAUGAAGAUUCAAGUUCAAACUCAUCAGAUGCAUCAUCACAACAUCCGACCAAUCCAGCUAGCCAGAAGACCUCAUGGGCGGAUUAUCAGGAUUCCCAAGACCCAUUUGAUUUGUAAUCAACAUGUGAAUAAAUAGUUUUUACCAUGUAAUAAUUGACAGAAAAAGACAUCAAAAGCAGUAACAGUCAGCAUCGAAAGCAGUAGCCAUCAGCAACAAUAAUUCCAGACAGUUUACUAUUCAUGAAUAGUAAAAUCACAUUUUUUCACUAUUUAUCAACAGUAGCCAUCAUUUCAGAAAAGAGGACGCGUGAUUCCACAGUAAUCUGACAACAUCACUAGUCUCCACAACCUCGAGCACGAUGGUUGGCUUGUUAUGACGACCCUUGAAUUGGCUAGCCCAAGUAGUAGGAAAAUUCUUCCACUCCUAAUGCAUACAAUCAAGACUUUCUAUCAAGCUAGGGAAGCCUCUUUUGUCUGCCUUGCGUAGAAGCCUCUUCAAAUCUUCAUGAUUUUGUGUGCGAAGGUGUUGGAAAUGUGCCCUAAAACCAACCAUAUGAUGAUACUUUAUGGACAUUUCACAUGUUAAACUAAUCUAGUUUAAUAUCAAGGGAAAAGAUUAUUGUUUUAAGCCGUCUCAUAUAAAUGUUAUAUGCUUAAACGAUAAGUCCAUGAAAUAUGUAAUUAGGAGAAUGUAAUUUAAAGAAGUUAGAUUCAUGAGACAAUUCUCUUUCGUAUACAUAUCCUAAACGUUCCUGAUCAUAGGAUUGCCAAUUGGGCAUUGACAGUCCGUCAAGAUCAGUACGUGAUAUGUCUUCUCUCAGAGAGAGUGACUAGUCUCGAGUCAUUGGUGUGAUUGACACCAAGACAAGCAUGUAGGUGCUCAAUAGAGAAUGAGUCCACUGAACAUGAUCAACGAGGAGUUCUCAUACUCAUGUCACAUGAGAACUCAUGGUUGGGAUAAUGCAAAGUAGUCAUUUAACCUGAGGCAUCAUAGUUGUCUUGUGGUUAGGUCCUUGAUCUUUGACUAUGUCAAAGUCACUCUGUCAGAGGGUGUCCACGACAUAGUUGGGGUUAAGCCACUUAGCCAUGGAGGCAAGUGAAUGCGCAACAAGGGAUCUCUAACCUUCAAACCGUUUGAGGGUGAAUACUCUAUGAUAUGAUUAAGAAUCUAUGGCCAGAGUAUGAAUAAGAUUUAGGAAGUCGUUCCAAAUCACAUUCAAGGUAAUCAUAUAAGUAAAUGAAUCACAUUGGAUAGUAGACAUGAUUAAACUAUCAAACCAAACAAUGUGGUCAAGAGUAUUGUAUUAGAGAAAGACCGUAUUGCAUUGUAAUUCUAAACUGAAUAGGUUCUCCACCUCUUCUGAUUAGCUUGGGUAACCAUGACAUACUGCUAGGUGUCACUCAUGGUUUGUUGAAGCCCUAAACGUGUAUAAUCACUAAAGGGAGAAUUGAAAGUAAGUUUCAAUUCACAAUCGAUCGUUAAGAGUAACAAUCGCCCACUGCCUCGCUAAAAGGAACCUAAUGGAUCGUACACCGUGUAAGGUAGAGAUUGAAGAAACAAUGGAAAUGAGUAAGAAUAAUUAAAUGGUUUAAUUAUUUAUGGCUAGGAUUAAUUAAUAUGUUAAUUAAUCAAACGAAUAAGUACGUUAUAGACCUAGGGUUAGUUUUGGGCCGCAAGGCCCAAUGGGAUUUGAAUGUCAAGCCCAUUAACUCAAGUUGUAUGACAACUUGAAUAAACAAAAGGCGUGAAAGCCCAAUAAACCCUUAAGGUUGGCCAAAUAGAGGACGGUAGUGAACUUGCUUUAAUUGUAAGUUUGCCACUCCAUUGUGAGGUGGUAUAAAGGCAACUUUAUAGCCAUUUCAUCCUUAGGGUUUUUUUUAGGGAAAGGAUGAGAACACAAUGCUCUCUUUUUCUCUCUAAGAGGCCGGCCCCCUUGGAGGAGAUUAGCUAGCAAUGUUUCAUCCUCCAAGGUCACUCAUCUCUUCUUCAAGUCCCUAGAGGUUCUCAAUUUUUGGAACUUGGAGAAUCCUUUCUAGCAUCCUCCUCCAAGAAAUCGAUGGAACUAAGAAGCAAGGAAUGAAGGCCCUCUCCUUGGGUGAUUAGCCUUUGCUUAUGCAAAGAGGAAUCAACAAAGGUAUAAAAUAUCUCAACUCACUAUGUUCUUGAGUUGAGUCUUGGUUCACCUUUCUACUAGGCUUUGAAUUUCAUGGGUAAUGUUUUGUUUUGAGUGCAUACAAGCAUGAUUCCGCCUUUAAAUGUUAAUUGCAUGCCAUAGAUGUUGCUCAAAUGAACAUGUUUUCCACAAAAUUUCUUUCAGAAGGUAAUUGGCUCCAUAUAUGGCUUCAAUUACCUUACAGAAGCACUUGAGGUUCUCAAUAACAGUACUCUCCGCAUGUCAACAAUAUUUGUCAGUUGAGUCUGUAGAGCACCCAUUUGCUAGCAUCUGAAAUGUAGAUGUGAGCUUCUGAUGAGGUAAUACACUUUGCCGGCCUACGACAUCUAUGUUCCUUGCAAAUUCAGCUUUUUCGUUGUUCAUUUCUGCAUCUGCAGUUGCAAGGCUUGCUUAGUAUUGUGCCAUCUACAUUGCCAAGCUACGCAUUCUUCUAUCACCCAUUAAUGAGAUGUUGAUGAUUUUGAGGAAACAAAAACACUUUGAAAGGUUGAAGAUUGGUGAAUAUGUUGUGUGAUGGUUAGAUAUUCAACCUAUACUUAUAUAGAGGAUGAUUGAAGGUUUGCGUGUUUCAUGUGUGUAGGUUUGUGUUUCAUGCGUUUCAUGUGUUUUGUAUGUAUUUGGUAUGUGUUUCAUGUGUGUCAUGUGUUUUACAUGUUUGGUGUGUCAUACAUCUCUAUCAUGUGUUUUGUAUGUGCUUUAUAUGUGUUCUGUGUGUCUUGUGUAUUUCACGUAUUUUGUGUUUAUACAUCUCUAUUAUGAUUUUCAUAUUCUUCCAUAGUGUUUCAUGAGUUUCAUGUAUUGAUUUAGUGAUUUUUCAAUAUUUAUCGGAAUUUAAAUAUUUUUAGGUUAAAUUGUUCAUAAAAUUAAUUUAGAAUAGUUCUACAUAAUUUUUUAAAAGUUAAUUUUUAAAAAAUUAGCCUAAAUUCAUUAUUUAAUAAUCUGGGGCUAAAAUUUUAGGCCAGGAGAGUUGGAGCAGUUAGGUUAAAACUUCAAUCUUCUGGGUUAAAAAUUUUAGGUUUUAGGCCAAGGGUUGGAGAUGGCCUAACUUGGCUGUGAAGUUGUUGUUAAAAACAAAAAAAAUAUAUGUUUAUGUAAUUACUAAAUUGCUCAUAUUUAUUUUAUUUUAUUUUGGUACAAUUUUGAUGAGGGGGUUAAAAUAGUAAUUACAUAAAGUUUUAGUUGACAACCAUGGUUCUAUUAAUAGGUAGUUUUUUAUUUUUUUAUUUUUUAUUUUUUUAUUUUUUAUUUUUUAUUUUUUAUUAGUACAACAAUAUUUUUUACACUAAAAGGAGAUGGAGUUCGGCUAAGCCAUACAAUGAGUAAUUGAAUUUGGUAACGAAUUCACCAUUUACGAGAUUCGAACCUAAAAUCUUUCACUUAUAAGUGAAUAGAAUUAUCAUGAGACCGUAAUACUGAGUGACAUUAAUAGGUAGUUUAGAUUUACAAAAGGCGGCCAAAUGAACUUAUCGUCAUUUUCAGUAAGAUGCAUGUUAAAUUAUUAAUUGAAACCAAUGGAAUUAAAAUUAUUGCGAGGAACAACUUGUUGCACUUUUUCCUUAUUCGAAGAACCAUCAAUGUUAAAUAUUCGAUCAACAACUGUUUCACCAAGAUUUCGAAUAUUUUGUAAAUAAAUUAUUUUAGUUUAAGGAAGAUGAUAAAUUCAGGACCGGUUUUGAGUUUUUUGGUGCUCAGAGCAAAUGCUCAAAAUGUACAUGUUUUAAUAUAUGAAAAUAUAUUUAAGGAGGGCUGGAAGUGGAACCUAGUCGAAGUUAGGGGAGGGGCCUCAACCCUCAUGCCCAUAUUAUAUUAAUGGGUAAACUGUCGGUUUACCCCCUGAACUUUCACCUCACUUUCGAUUUCCCCCCUGAACUUUUCUAUUGGAAAAUUAAGGACUCAAACUAAUUUUUUUAGCCAAUUUGCCCCCUACCGUUAGUUUUUCAUAUAUUCCAUCCAUAUUUCCGUUAAGUGAGACCAUGUGCACAACAUGUGAGGGUAGUUAAGUUAUUUCACUCUUAAAAAUGAUUAAAAAACUGAAAAUAAUAAAAAAAAAGCAAAACUUUCCCUCUAUUUUUUCCCGCUAAUUCCUAUCCUCGAUUUUAUUUUUCCCUCUCAUUCCUAUGCAUGAGAAAUGACAUAUGGUGUUAUUGUCUACCAUUUUUAUUUUCUCUAACAAAUUAAUAAUUUGACAAAUGUUAAUGGUGCUAUUGUCUCCAAAGCAGUGCAUUAAUAUAAGAAACCCUAGUCUUUUUUAUGGACAUGUUUCUUAUAUUAAUGCACUGCUUUGGAGACAAUAACACCAUGAGCAUUUGUCAAAUUAUUAAUUUGUUAGAGAAAAUAAAAAUGGUAGUACAUGCUUCAAAAAAAAGAUUAACUUAGCUACGUAUGAAGACAAUAACACCAUAUGUUAUUUCUCAUGCAUAGGAAUGAGAGGGAAAAUUAAAAUUGAGGAUAGGAAUUAGCGGGAAAAAAUAGAGGGAAAAUUAUUAUUAUUAUUUAUUUUCAGUUUUUAAUCAUUUUUAAAUUGAAAUGACUUAACUAUCCUCACAUGUUAUGCACAUGGUCUCACUUAACGGAAAUAUGGAUGGAAUAUAUGAAAACUAACGGUAGGGGACAAAUUGGCUAAAAAAAUUAGUUUGAGUCCUUAAUUUUCCAAUGGAAAAGUUCAGGGGGGAAAUCGAAAGUGAGGUGAAAGUUCAGGGGGUAAACCGACAGUUUACUCUAUAUUAAUUGAAGAAAAACAUAUGGAGGGAGCAUAAAACCUAAGCCCCGACUCAUUAUUUUUAGAAAAAAAAUUAUUUUAUUAUUAAUUUUUUUAACAAAUGAUAUUAUCUACAUUAGGGGUGGGGGGUGAGUCAAACCUCACAAUGGGACAUCCAUAAUAAUGUGGUUUAAAUUCACUUUUAGCGAGAAUCGAACCUAAGAUCACUCACUUAUAAAUGAAGAGGAUUACCACUAAACCGUAGCACUAAGUAGCUAGAAUUUUUUUAUUAAGAGAUCCUUUUAAACUUCCGCAAUUUCUUUAUCCUGAGCAUUUUUUUUUCUUUUCAUAUUACUAGAGAGUUGUUUUUUUUUAAAAAAAAAAUUACCUACAUGUUGUAUAAUAAAAAAUUUCAAUUUGUUGUAGAUCUAAUUUACUAAACAAUUACAAUGGCACAGAGAGAGUAGAGAGAAAUGUGUAAUUGUGAGGGGUGUGUUAUUCCAACCUAUUGUGCAUUUAUUUAUAGUAGUAGGAAGAUAAAUUAUUUACUCCAAUAGGAUUACAACUCUAAUAGUCUAAGAGAUAUGACAUAAUUUAUGUUGGAUAUUCUAUAUAUGAUAUGAUUUUGUUGACCCUAAAAACUACCAAGCCUACCUGGCGCGCAGGCCAGAGUAACUAAUGAGCUAACUACGUCCUUCGGUUGAUGCGGGGCGUGCCAACUCAUCGACCGAAGAGUAAAAAUAUGUUGAUGUUGUGUUGAGCGAACGGCUGACUUCUUGAUCUUGCGACUGCGACCGACGAAGGAACACUCUCGGCCUUUGGGCUCUAGAGCCUGAAGACAAGACUGCUGGUUCUGCAAAGUUCACAAAUCGUCAGCGCCGGAUUUGGUCACAGUGAUUAUAUUCGUAAGAGUAUAAGCACGCCAAAUCGACACUAGAGUAUAGGGGCACAGAUACUCAAAACAGAUAUAUGUCUUGACAGUAAAUGUGGUUCGGCUAUCAGAAUGUCAAACUUUAAAGCUUACCUGUGAGUAUCCAAUCAUAAAACAACUUGGUGUUCAAUGUGCCGAGCCCUAGUAAACUGUAACACCUCACCUUGCCGAAAAGGCUAAUGAGAUGACCUCUGCCAAUAAAGACCCGAAAAUCUUUCUCAACCGAGACUUGGAUAGAUAACCAGUCGACCUCGACGCAGUACUGUUUAUCUAAACUGAAGGUAUCCCAUGGUUGGCCGGUUCUAUGGCGAUAAUGCUGUUUAUCCAAACUGAAGGUAUCACUGGUUGCCUUCACAGUGCUGUUUAUCCAAACUGAAGAUGUGUUGGCGAAAAAGAAAAUAAAAAUCUCAAGGUUGUUGAGAGGUUUAGCGUGGAGCGAGAAUUUGCGCAGGGCAGUUUGUGUGUUGAAUUGGAGGGGCUUGAAUGAUGUCCUCAUCCCUCUAUUUAUAGUAGCCAACCUGCUUCUGAUUGAAUCACAGCCAUUCUCGAAUUAUAACUCAUUUCCCCGAUCCAACCUUAUCUCGGCCAGUCCUACUCCUACUAGGACUUCGAACUCAACCCCUUAUUAGGCCACAUUCAAUCCCAAACUUCAACAUUCUUAUCCUGUUGAAACUCCUUCUCGUAAUGGGACUCACCCACAUCCCAUGGAUUCCUAAUGGGACACGGCAAGCUUUAACUAUGCGGCCCAUGAGCUGGAUGACCCCCAACAACUCCUAAGCACGGCCUCUGGGCCGAGAAUAAUUCUAAACUCGGCCCAAACUAGUAUGAUAUGUCAUAAACAGGAAAUAAACACGUUAAUCAACAUUUAAUAAUAAUUUAAUCAUUAACAACUACAUUAUUUGAUUUGAAAAUUUGAUCUCCGUACCAUUACCCUCUUUGAAAUUACUGGAGUCAGCCCAUUAAUUUUUUUUUAUAAUUUUAUAAGGGUUUUUUGUUUUUUGGUAACAUAAUGGAGUGAAUCACAUUAAAAACUAGCUUAAAGGGUUAUUACAGAUAAUUCGAAUUGUAAGGACUCCCACCAUAGUACACAGGACAACGCCCUACAGUGAAAACAGAUAUGCAGCAGCCCUAUGUUAACGGUUAACUAUGUUGUUGGGUGGCAAGUGUAUAUUUUGAAUGCAUAAAAUUAUUAUUUUUCAAUAACAAUAGAGAAGAAUUAGACGAGAUUAGUUAUUUGUCAACAACUUAAAUCAUUGUAGUCAGGGGAAGAUUGAAAUGUCUCUCUGAGUCUUCCUGGCACCCGAAAGAAGUGGAUAACCGUGGUUUGCCACCAGUUGUCUUUUUUUUUUUAAAUAAAAAAAAACAACUUAAUCAUUGUCAUAGACAAGUAUAAUAUUUUUAAACUAAUAUAACAAAUUAAAUAAUAUGUUACAUUAGGUCGGAUCCGCCUAUAAAACGUAUUCUAUUUAUUAGAUUGGAAGUCUCAAAUCCAUAUUUUAUUAAUUACCUUGACUUAAGAUACCGUAAGGUACGUGUCUCAGAAUUGCAACUUUCUUGAUAUUCCUUGGACUCACCCUAAUUGAUAACAAACCUCCCUAAUGAUCUAUUAGUUCACAUGCUCCUUCGACAUAUGUUCUCACUUAUCCUUGUGGUCAAUUACUCGUUCUUAGGUUGCCAGGAAUACAGAAUCAUGUGUUACCAGACGUUAAUUGAUUUUUUGGCGUACAAGAGUCUUUUCGUGGUUAAGAAAUUAUAUUAUAUUUCUAAUGAGUUUGAAAUGCAGAGUUGUAUGUGUUAUUUCUAAUUAGGAUGCCAGGAAUACAGAAUCAUGUGUUACCAGACGUUAAUUGAUUUUUUGGCGUACAAGAGUCUUUUCGUGGUUAAGAAAUUAUAUUAUAUUUCUAAUGAGUUUGAAAUGCAGAGUUGUAUGUGUUAUUUCUAAUUAGGAUGCCAGGAAUACAGAAUCAUGUGUUACCAGACGUUAAUUGAUUUUUUGGCGUACAAGAGUCUUUCCGUGGUUAAGAAAUUAUAUUAUAUUUCUAAUGAGUUUGAAAUGCAGAGUUGUAUGUGUUAUUGCUUUUGGGAUAUGUGGCUUCUUUUUCUUGCUCUAGAUAUUUCCCACAUGGUUUUCUCCGAGUAAGGUUUGUUCUGAUGAUCACGUUUGGUAUGUCUGCUCUAUAUAAGUUUUUUUUUAUCGUUUUUGAUCCAAUUUGAAUUGAUCUAUAAAAGGAUUGUCUUGAAGACCACUUGCCUACGAAUUAUCUUGGAAGAGUUUAGUGCCAAAUUUGCUUGCUAGAAUUAACUAUACCAAUUUAAGCACAAAAUGGUAUUGGUUACAAACUGUUAUCGGUCAUUUAAAUCAAGUGUGCUUUGCCAUUUUAGUUUACCUAUUCAGUUUGUUGACCCUUAUUUGCUAUAGAAAGGAAGGCACAUUUAAUGGGACCUAAACAGAUGAAGAUUUUGGUCCUAGUCUACUUCCUCCUAUAUAGCUAUGGCAUGCACGAAUCAAUUAACAUCCUAAAUACGAUCACCCAACUAAUUUAACCGAAAUAAACGCUACAAAAAGAAAUGGUCAAACUACAAAAAUAACCUGCAUCUUGUAAUAUACAUACUCAACUGACGCCGAAAAUUAAUAUCUAAAAAAUAAAACGAAGGAGAGAAAGAUAGCAAUGGCCAUGCCAAUGUCCUCACCGAGUGCCAACGCCAUGACAAUGAAGGCAUUGCCUUUGCGAGCCCUCCUGGGGCCAAUCCUGCUAUGUCUUCUUCUUCUCCCUGACCAUGUUCAUGUCUCUGCUGCCGACCGUGUGCUUCUUAAAGCCGAGCAGGAUCACGAUAGGGUUGGGCCAAAGUUCAAGCCUGGCCCUUGGAAGCAUGCUCAUGCCACAUGCUACGAAGGAGGCUCUGGAACCUUUGGUAUGAACCCUAUCAACAAGGACGGAGCCAUGAAGGGACCAUAAUGGUCCCGGGCCUACCUAACAUUUUUUACACACAGAAAAAAUUAGAGUUAUUUUUCUGAUUUCUAAAGACUUUUCAAGGUUUUAGAGUCUCAACUAGAAUCUUUUCUUUAUUUUCUUAACUAAGUUUUAUUCGAGGCUGGUGGCUCUUAUGCAGUUAACCAGCAUCACUGUGAGUUUUGAGGGACUCAGGGGAUUAGAAGAGGGAUAGAGAGAGGAAGUAGGCGAGAGAGCUGGUUUUAUUUUUUUUUAUUUUUGCUUUAUUUUUUUAUUUUAUUCUUUGAAGUCUUUUAAUACUAUUACUUUUGCUUUUUCUUUUUUCUCAAAGGGAUUUUUUUUGAAUUUGAGUCAUGAUACUGGGCAUGAGGUUGAGUUGAGAAAGAGGAUGACAAGAACGACAUCAUACUACUUAACAACUCACCCAUUCCCAUGUAUUAUGAACCAUCCUCUUACCCAGCCAAUUUCUUACAAGGGAAUCUAUUGCUCACAUGAUGUAGCAAAUUUAUAUGGAAAUUGCUUGCCAAAGAUUUUUCUCUAUUAGCCGUUAGGAAUGUUUGAUAAUGUUUUUGGAAUGCUUAGCAAUAUUUUUGGAAGUGAGGAUCCUCGCCAGAUCCUCAAAUCAAAUCUGUUCGUCGUAUAUUAUGUGGUCAUAAAUUAUUGCAAUUUUUUUAAUUUAAAAUUAUAUAAAUAGUAUAUGACGAAAACUGUCUGCACGAUGUACGAUGAACAGAUAUGAUUGGAGGAUCUUGCAAUCCUCACAAAGAGUAUCCAGUGAGGGUCCUCUCUCUAUUUUUGGACACCUAAAAGCUCUUUUUAUAAGAGCAAAACGUGAUUUUCAAUUAAACACUUGCAUUUUUAAUAGAAAUUUUGGCAUGCUUCUAAUAAAAAAACUAGCACUAAUUAAUUCAUGAAUUUUUUUUGAACCUACUAGGUGGAGCUUGUGGUUACCAUGAUGUUGUUAAAGAAGGUUAUGGCCUCAAAACUGUAGCACUAAGCGAUGCACUGUUCAACAAAGGGCAGUCGUGUGGUGCAUGCUUCGAAAUCAGAUGUGUAGACUCACCCCAAUGGUGCAAGCCCGGGCAGCCAGUUGUGUCAGUCACAGCAACAAACCACUGCCCUCCAAACUACAACCUCCCAAGUGACAAUGGAGGAUGGUGCAAUUCGCCACGCGAGCAUUUCGAUAUAGCCAAGCCCAUCUUCCUCCAGAUUGCUGAGUACAAGGCUGGCAUUGUCCCAGUUGAAUAUCGAAGAGUGCCAUGCAAAAAACAAGGAGGCAUUCGGUUCACAAUAACUGGGAAUCCUUAUUUCAAUGAAGUGAUGGUUUGGAAUGUCGGAGGCUCUGGGGAUGUAACAAGUGUCGAAGUGAAGGGUGACGGCAAGCUUCCAUGGACGCCGUUGAAGCGAAUGUGGGGUCAGAGGUGGACCACCGAUGCUAAGCUUGUUGGGGAGUCAUUGACAUUUAGGGUUGGUGAGAGUGAUGGAAGAACCAUUACUUCAGUGAAUAUUGCCCCUAAGAAUUGGCAGUUUGGUCAGACCUACGAGGGCAAGAACUUCGAUUAGAGUAGAAACAUGUUGGAAGCUUCAUUUUGAUGCUUUCGACUAGGAAAUUAAUGAACAAGCUCUAAUGUUUCUUUCAAUUCUUUACCUUUUGUUGAUUGAAUUAGUUUUGCUUGUUAUGUUAUAUGUAUAAGUUGCAAUGAAAUGGUUAAGCAAAGGGGUUGCCAUGUUAGGUGGAUAGAACAUGGAUAUAGUUCUAGAUGUACCAUUAAUUAGGUUAAAUUUUAAUUUGACGAAAAGUAAUUUAGUUGUGAAAUCCUGUCUUUAGAUUUCACUAUUUAAUUUUACAUAUUUUGUAUUUAUGCUAAUUUAUUUUAUUUUUGUUAAUUUUAGAUUCGUUACUUAGUUACAAAGUUGGAAUUUUUGUAACGAGUCAUUAAAAAUCUAUAGACUUUUUGGGUUAGUCUUAGAAUUUUUGGGUAGAUUCUAGGAAUGCGUAAGCAAAAACUAUUUGCAAAACAGAGUAGUAACGAAGGAGAAAUAUGCAAGUAAAGGCAAGGGCGAAAUGGUCUUUUGGACCCUAUGCUUCUGGAAGGCUCCAGGAAAACGGGAGAAAGGAUCCCGUUGAGGAACCCACAUGGACUGGAGGGGAUUGGUUCGCCCUUCCCCCCUAAUAACCCUUCUCCCUUUGACCUGUUUCCGGACCCAUUUAUGGGCAACGAUUCCAACGCUGAUUUUGGCGUUCUUUGAUCGAUUCACUCGACGCCACCACCUGGAAACGACUCACCGCCAUCCCACGACCAUUUUCCACCUAAGGUUUCCGUUUUUUGGCCGCCGUUCCCGACAGGACGAGUUCGUCGGUCUCCUGAAUUCCUCGCUGGCAAUCUUGCGAUUCAGUUGACUCUGAUGUCAACCACCACAUCCAGUUCAAAGCCCACGACCCUAGGAGGUGAUUUGUGGGCCCCAAUGGUCUGAUGGUGCAGUGGCGGUAGCAAAGUGGCGUCGAAUCACUUUGGCCACCCACCACUUUCUUGACAAUUUACGCCAUCUUCUAUCCCUAUUAGACUUCGUCACAGGUAUGAAAAUCAUUCCUUAUACUGAGUUUUAUUUGCUUGUAAAAUUUGGUAGAAAUCUUAAUUGGUCGGAAACAAAGUUUAUGAACUGCCAACCUAAGUGGGGACUUUGGCAGAAUGGAAUUUUGGACAGCGAGAUGUCUUCAAUGUCUUGGUUUGGUUCCAAGGUCCGUUUGUUGAAAUAUACGAUGGUUCGAUAAUUUGAUUUAUAGAAAGUCGAACCGCUGUUUGACUUUCAAAAUUGAUGUCGAUCUGGCCGUUGGAUCGCUAUGAUACUUUACUAUGUUGUUGUGGUUAUUAUUUGAGGACUUUAGAAAUUUACAUAUUGGAAAUCUGAUGUAGAUAUCUUCUGGAUUGAAGAAUCUUAGAUUAUUGACAUUUAUAUUUGACAUUAAUCCAACCGUUAGAGAGUUACAAAAUUAUAAUAUGUCGUUGGGUGUAAUAUUUGAGAAUAUUAGAAAUUUAUGGAUUGGGAAUCCAAAGUACGAGUCUUCCCGGAUUGAAUUUCUAAAUUUGUAGGACCGAUUCUUGAUAACCACUUAAAAUUGUGAUUAACUAAAGAUCUGACAUUCAAAUCGUCACAAAUUUUUAAUAUGUUGUCCUAGAAAUACAUAGAGACUUUUACAAAGUUACGAAUCAAAGAUCCGGUGGGUGAAUCUACCGGAUUGGAUUACUAGGGUUGUUGAUCGUUCCGUUGAUCACGUUGACCAAUGGUUGAUUUUUGGUCCACAUUUCCUGAAUUGUUCUUUAAUACAAAAAUUAGUAUUAUUAAAGGCUAGGUAGAGCCUAGUGGGCCCAUCUUGUCCAUCGAGUUAUACCAGUUAAUGUAUAUCUUAGGUUGUGUGCCACUUAUUGAACUACUAGAAGAUAUAAAUGAUAUGUGUGAUUGGUAGUACGAAAAUAUGAGCUAGAACCAUGUUAGAAUUAUUUCGUAGAACUUGUAUGUAUGUGUGAGUAGAUAUUUGUUUGUGUUGUGGAAUUGAUAGUGUGUAUGCUAAUAAUUAUAAUUCAUGUCGACUUGAUAUGUGAUGUGUGAUGAUAUGACUGCACCAUGUAGCAAUGAUACAUGGAUGGUCCUACCUGGUUAAUUCGCAUUGGGGGACGAUACGCAUUCUAGAGGUGACUCUGCCUGAUUAAUCCGCAUUGGGAAUUCACUCCUACCUUGUUACACUAUUCCCAUGGGUUGUUUCACCUAGUUCAUCUGUAUUGGGGAACCAACUAUUGAAGGCAUGUCCAUGGUCCCACCUGGUUAAUGUUGGGGGACCAUGCGCACCCUAAGGGUGGUUCUGCCUGGUUAAUCCACAUAGGAGGAUCACGUGCACCCUAAUGGUGACUCUGCCUGGUUAAUCCACGUUGGGGGUCACUGCCUAAUUGGUUUACUUCUAUAGGAGGUUCCGCAUAGUUAUCUGCAUUGGGGAACCAUACGCAUUCGAGGGGCGACUUCGCCUAGUUAAUUUGCAUUAGGGAACCAUAUGCAUUUGAGGGGGUGACUCUGUCUGGUUAAUCAGCAUUGGAGGGUUACUGCCUUCUUGGUCACGUUAUAUCUCUAGGUGGUGAUGCCUGGUUAUUCUACAUUAGGGAACCAUACACAUUCUUGAGUGGUGUUUCGUUGAGUGAUUCGGAAUCCCUCUUUCCAUUCAGCUCCAUUGAUUUGUUCUAUAACUAGAUCUUUAGAAAUCUUUUACAGUUCCUCUGUAUCACUUUAGCUUUAAUUUUCAGCAUGUUUAUGAACAAAAGAAUUGAGAAUCUGAAUCAAUAGGAAGAUGGCCGUCUGGGUGAUUACUUCGAGAUUUUCAAUUAGUUUAUUUAUAAUUUUAUAAAACAUGGUUUUAUAAUGAUGUUGAUUGGUUGGUUGAUUAAUAUAGUUAAAGAUUAAUAUUAUGCAUCAAAUUUUCAAGGAAAUAUUAUACGAUGUUGAUUGUGGUUUGUUGAUGGAUAAUGUGGUGAUGUGUAAGGUCAAUUAGAUGACCAUCCUGGUUGUCAUAUGAUUCCUUGUGUGGUUUAGAAUUGAGCGAUUUAUGCUCUUCGAGUUCCAUCAAGUUAUUUGAGAUUUUUAUGUUCUUUGCUAAGAAGUAGCAUGUAAAAUGUCAAAGUUUAACAAAUGGUGAAUUACCAAUGGCUUGAUCCCGUGUUAGGGUAUGUAGGUAGUCUAGCAUAAAGGUUAAAUGCAGCCAUAUAAAGUAAACGAAAAGCUAUUCUACAAUUGGACCUUGAAUGGUGUCUUGUUCAUGUCUCGAAGACGAGGCACAAUAGAUGUACAUGUACGAGAUGACAUCAUGUAUCGAUCAUGAAUAUAUCUCGAAAUUGGGGCGUGACAUUAGUACUUCAUUUUGUAGGAUAUAUAAGUUAUAUAUGAAAAUUAAUAUUUAAAGGUUGAGAUAACUUAUUGUAAAACUUAAACACACGAGGUAGAAGCCAAGACGUCUCAGGUUAGCUCACAUGUAUGGUGAUGGUCUCAAGUUAGCUUACAUGUAUGGUGAUGAUGUAUUAUAUAAUUUAAUAUUUGUGUUGAUUUUGAUACUUAUUUCUUAAUCCCCUUUCAAAAUAGAUGUAUAAAAAAAGAACAUGACGUAGGAGUUAGGAGUUUCCAACCCCAAUUUGAGAGAGAUCAAUCUUUUGGUGGGACUAAAAUAGGAAAACUAAAAGUUUUAACGAUAAGGACAAAAUAAAGGGUAAAGUAAAUAGUACCAGGAUUGAUUUUUUAGUGUAAAAAUGUGAUUUUUUGUUAAAGUAAACAGUACCAGAAACUUUUCGUUAAAAUUCCCGACUAAAAUAUGGUCAAAUGCUUUAAUUACCAAAGUGCCCAAAUAUAUACACCGAAUUUGAAAGAAAACUUUUGUAGGGUUUGACUUGGACAUGACAUUAUCAUCCACUUAAAACUUGCAACAUAGUAAGCUUCAAGUAUGACUUAUGCUAUAAAUUUACAUUUAAAGUUCCCAUAAAUAAUUUCCUCCUAAUUAAUAAACACCAUUAAUUUAUGAUUCUUUUUCUUCUGUUCUUUCCUCACCCUUCACAUCUCUGAUUUUUCCUUCACCGUGUAUAGAAGUAUUUUCUCUCCCAAUGCACUACAAGAAAGUGGGUAAUGAUCACCAUUGCCCCCAAUACGAAAAAGCUACUAAAGCGGGGUGCGUUGUUGUCAUAGGCAUGACAAUGUCUCCAUUGUCACCAUGUUUUGUGUUGGUGAGAACAGAAUAUGUGCCAUUGCCCCAACAUAUAUACAAUUCCUAGCCGUAAACCAAGGCAGAAAAUUGGUGCCGGCUGUUGGGGAUGUAAACUUUUUUCUUGGGUGGGGGAGAUAUAAAAGCUUUUAAAAUUAUAUGAGAUUCUCAUGAUUUCUAAGAUGCAACUUACAAAUUACCGUUGUCCACAAUAAUUGUGUGGAUAUAGGUGAUAAAUAAAACGUACAACACGCUAAUGAGUAUUAGGGAAUCUUACAUAUAGAGACAAAAACAUACAACAUAUUUCAAGUAACUUCACUAAUUUUUAAAUAUUUCAAGGAGAUAUAUGAACACAAAAACAAUUAAAACCCAUCACAAAAGCAUGAAAACAAUUUUCUAAAAUAUUAGUCAUACUCCUCGCAGUUCUGUUUAUUAACAAAGCCCAGCCCACACAACUACAACAAAAAUAAUGUGUCAUCAGUUCAACUCUUCUCGACUAUUAUUUUUUGGAGAAUCAGUUUUAAAUAUAUGUAGAAUCAGUUUUGUAUACUUUUUAGUAUAACCAAUUUGUAUAGUUUUAGUAGAGUUGAUUUGUAUUUUUUUAACAAAACUACAUACAUGCCAUCAGUCCAACUCAUUCUCAGCUAUUUUUACAAAAUUAGUUUCAAAUAUAUCUAGAAUAAGUUUUGUUUACUUUUUAGUAACUGGCUUUUAGUAUAGUCAGUUUGUAUACCUUAAAUAAAAUUACAUACAUGUCAUUAUCUCAACUCAUUCUCGGGCAUUUUUGCAUAAUCAGUUUCAAAUAUAUGUAGAAUCAGUUUUGUAUACUUUUUAAUAGAUCUAGAUUGUAUAGUUUAGUAGAAUCACUUAGUAUAUUGUCAACAAAACUAUAUACCUGCCAUCAGUCCAACUCCUCUUCGACCAUUUUUGCAGAAGCAAUUCAAUUAUAGAAUCAAUUUUGUAUAUUUUUAGUAGAACCAGUUUGUAUAGUUUUUAAUUAAUCAGUUUCAACUAUAUGCACGGUUGUGUGUGUGUGUGUUUGCAGAAGCAAUUCAAUUAUAGAAUCAAUUUUGUAUAUUUUUAGUAGAACCAGUUUGUAUAGUUUUUAAUUAAUCAGUUUCAACUAUAUGCACGUGUGUGUGUGUGUGUGUAUUAGUAAAAUCAAUUAAUAUACGUUUUAGUAGAUCGGUUUGUAAUACUUUCUAAUCAAUUAAUGUACUUUUUAGUAGAUCGGUUUGUAAUACUUUUCAGUACAACCAAUUUUGUAUACUUUUUAGGUCCCAUUUGGUAUUGCUUUUUUUCACUAAAAACUACUUACCUUUAAAGUUAAGCAGUAAAAAAGUGUUUAGUUAAAGUAAAAUACCUACUUAUUUUAAAAGCAAUGGGUUCCAAACAUCAACUUUUAAAAGCAGUGUGCAUGCUGCUUUUAAAAGUUGCUUUAAUAAAAAGCAGAGUUGGGUAUUUAAUAAUUAUUUUCAAUUGUUGGAAUACCUUCAUUAAUUUUUUUUUUUUAAAUGACAUUGUUUAGGCCACACACAUUCUAUUUCUUAGAGAAUAAAGUAAACGCUACCACUACAAAUACUAACCUUACACCAUCAUCCCCAUUACAACCACCAUUUUUGUCACCACCACCGCCAUAACCACAACCUCCACCACUAUCAUCAUUACCAUCAUUGUUACCACCGUCACCACCGCCACUGCCACCAUUGCCACCGUCACUACUACCACCAUUGCUACCACCAUCGAUGCCGCCAUCGCCACCAUCACCAUUACCAUCAUAACCACAACUGCCAUUACCACCAUCAUUGCCGCCACUGCCGAUGUGGAGCAAAAAAUAAUCAAGAAAAUUAUGGAGGCGACAUGUGGACUUGUGGGUAAAAAGACAAAAUUACCCUUGAGGCACACCAGGAUUCUCAUGUGCAUGCAACAGACAAUAACGGCUCAAUCAAGGUCAAAGGUGAUCAAAAUGGUAUUUAUUCAAAACCUUCUCAUCACUUCUCAUCAAAUCUUCACCCACAAGAUAACUCCCAAUUAUUCUUUUCAAAUUGGGAGUAAUUACCAAAUUAAUUGCACGAUAUUAUUUGACAUAAUAUCUUGCAAAUUAUAUUCAAAAUUCCACUAUAAGUGACCGGUCCCUAAUUCUCUAAAUAAGGUUGGCCACACCCCUAUAUAUAGCCCCACUUUUCUCCAAAAAGCUAAGUUCAUUCUCUCCCUAAAAUUCUUUAAACACUUUUUUCUCUCAAAUUCUAACUUUGGCAUCGGAGAUUCUUCGGCAAAAGCCUCCCCCCCCCAUUCAUUGUGGGUGUGUGAGGCUCUUGGCCUUGAUCUUACGUGUUAUUAUUUUGCAAGUGCAUUUUCGUCAAAUGAGAAGAAGGCGGAAAUUUGCAUCCACAAAUUGGUGCUUUCAUUGAGAGUCUUGAUUCACACGCUCGAAGAAGACUCGUAUUCAAGGUUUUUCGUUUUCUUAUUCAUUUGUAGAUUUUUCGUACGUUCUUAUUCUUGAAAUUUUUGUUUAUAAAAAUUCGUUGAUAAGGAGUAAAAGAAAAGUGCAAUGACUAGAAAUUCGAAAAUCACAACAAACGAAACUUCCAACAUUCAAGAAUUUGGACCACGACGAUCUACGAGGCUUAACACAAUGAUAAGUGGAGCGGCAUCAUCCACACAGGGCACCACCAUGGUAGCAGCCACGACAGCAACUCUCGGUGAACCCACUACCCCCGAUAAGCAUGCUAUCUCACAGCAGCAGGCCCAAACCCGUGCCACAAGGCAGCUAGCCCAUAUUCAAGCCCACGGUGCUGCACUGCCAGCUGAGGCUUAGGAACCUGGAGCAAUUGGAGCAGCCCAACACUCGCGAGCCCAAAGCCAGUACGAGCCUAGAAUGUUUCAAAGCUGAGCCCAGGCCCAAGCCACGCCGAGGAGAGCCCAGCGCCCAUGCGCUCCGACGGCCCAGCCCAUGCCUGCAAUCUAACCCGUUCUCACAACCCAAUUGGAGAUCCAACUUACUCUUGUGGCUUCCCAAGUGAUCCAUACCAGUCCAAGACCAGUUCAACUAUUUUGGCUUCAGAUUUCUGGACAGACGAUUGAAUUGGGGUUAUUUUCACCCUAUUUCACCCCAUUGCAAUGUGCCCCAAACGAGGUGUCCUGAAGUAGGACAAAGGAAGAUCAAGAACCUCUCUAGUAACGUCCCGGUAAGCAACUGAUAAGCUCAUAUUUAUAUAUAUUUUACAUAAAAUUCACUUGUCUUUUCUUAGUUAGUUCCUUAUAUUUUUGAGCUAUUUACUAUGUUUUUGUGUUUUGUGUGAUUUAUCAAGCAAAGAAAAGAAAAGUAGCACAAGUGAAUUAUUAAGUAACAAAUUCGUCAAAACUGCCUGUGCAGAUUAUCUGACUUUGGAAGCAUGUUACAAACAGCUCAGAAUGAAUGGGAGAAUGAGCCUUAUAUGCGUGGAAAGCUACGGAUGUCUAUUUUCUGGAGCAAUUUACGGAUUGUUAAUCUCAUUUUUCUAGAAGAAGUUAUGGGCAUUGUAACACUAAAAUGUCAGAAAAGGGCUAAGCAGAUUUGGCUAAUAAAAAGAGAAAGGCAACACAUGGGCAAAGGAAACACACACACAUGGGUAGAAAAUGGGUGGAUUGUUGGCUGAAAUAAUGAAGAACAUGUGUCUGCAAAUGCAAAGGAAAAACACACACACAUGGGCAAAGGAAACACACACACAUGGGAAAAGGAAACACACACACAUGGGUAGGAAUUGUGGGUGUUUGGUGGUUGAAAUGAUGAAGCAUGUGUGUGUAAAUGUAAAGGAAAACAUGGCAGAAAAUGUGUGUGUUUGGUGGUUGAAAUGAUGAAGCAUGUGUGUGUAAAUGUAAAGGGGAAACAUGACAACUCACACCCACACAAGAUGCACAUGCAAAGGAAAUGGAGUGGUCAUCUCUCAAGCCUAUAAAUACCAUUUCCCAUAUUCAUCAACACAACAGAUUUUGAUCCAUCUUAGCCGAAACUUCCCACCACCAUUCUCUCUAAUUUCAGCCAAAAACCACCCCUAGCCACACCACCCAUCAAUCCUAAACCUUUCCAUACCAUUCCCCAUCCAUUCUACACCAUAAAAACCACCCAAAACCGUCCAAAACCUCUAGUGCCGCUGCUUGCAAGGAAGGAAAGAGAAGGAACAUCUUGUGCCGUGCCUAUGCCCAAGCCUUGGGAGUGUUGGAGCGUUUCUAGGUGUUUUCUAUCUUUGUUUUUAAUGUCUAAAUUUAUGCAUCUUUGCUUUGUAAGUAUGAGGAACUAAACCCCUCUUAGUUAGGGGGUGAUUCGAAACUAUGUUCAUGCUUGCAAUAUGAUUUGAUUACAUCCAGUUGUGAUUCAUAAGUUGUGAAUUCAAUUUACUUAUCCGUUCGUAUAAAAACUGAUUUGUGUAUGUUGGUUGAGAGUGCACGCUUAAUUUUCAUGCAUGAAUUUGACGCUAGAAUAUAAGGGAGUUUCACCUAAUCGUUAGAACUUAUAUUCACAAGUAGUGAAGGUUGCUAGUCACAAUCACGUUAAGUAAAUUCUUGGCAUAAGUUUCAUGCAAAUCAUAGUCACGAGUGCCUCGUCAAUGCUUAUGUUUUUCAUAGAACUUAAUGAUUCUUGCUUGUAUCUCUAUUAUGCAAUUCAUGUAGGGAACUUGUAGGGAAUAUUUUGGGUUGUUGUAUGCAAUCAUCAAACCUAAUAACUUGUGGAAAAACUGAGGGUUAAUUAGUGCAAUUCACGGUUAAUUUGGGGCGUUUAGUAUUCAUAGUUUAUCGAAAAGCAACUGGAGAAGGAGGAGGCAACAGAGGUUGAUCUUUUGGAGCUUCAGUACGCGGUGCAGCCCCAGAAGACGAAGGCAAAUGCUGUUGGAACAAGCCCACAAACCUCUGAUGAUCAAGUAAGAUCUGACCAUCAGAUUCCUGCAUCUGGUCAAUUUUCCUCUUCAUGUUUAUGGCAUAGUUGUGUGCGAGCUUAUGCAAUUGUUUAUUUUCAUGCUUAAGCCCUCUAAUCUCCUUCUUGAGACUCAUCACUUCAGCCGCCAAUGAUUCAACUUGACGGGUUCGGGCAAAUAGGCGUUGGGCCAUAUUGGACACAGAACCUGCGCACUGCACACUGAGAGCUAGAGAUUCCUUAACAGCCAACUCAUCAGACUGUUUGGCAAGUAGUCUGUUAUCUUUGGGAGUGACAAGGUUCCUGGCCACCACCGCAGCUGUCAUAUCAUUCUUCAUCACCGAACCCCCAACGGUAAGGGGACCAGUAGGGGAUAUGAAUGAUGGGCGCCAUAUGUUGUCUGGAGAAGGCGGGGCUGCCUCUUCACCAAGGUUCAAGUCAAAACGACGGUCGGAAGGGCCAGACAUUUUUCAGAGGUGUUAAAGAAAGAGGAGAUCGGACAAGUCAAGAUCGUAGAAGUGCAACACGGGAGUUUUUACAGGCAGAAAUUCAAGUGUGCUUUGAACGUCCUGCAUACCUC